rnacentral:lncRNA from 1 species
CCUCCUCCAUAUGCAAGAAAAUUUUGUUGCGACGACUCCGAAUAUUAUCUUGAAUUUCCUGCAGCUCCAUUGUGGCAAAAUCCUGCACUGUUUCAGGCCCCUCUAUGAUACAAAAUCUGCACCAUUAAGCAUGUAAAAAUUAAAAAUUACAGGCUACAAAGCAAUUUCCGUAUAGUUGUUGGGUUAAAUAACAUCAACAGCAAAUAAAUCACAUAGGUUUUUCACAUAAAGUUACAAACUUUCAAGGACUAAUAAGCUGUCUGCAAUCUCAUAAAUUUCACAGUGCAAAGUAACAAUCCAAAGCUUGGAACUUUAAAUUUCCACCUUCUGUUAAUUUUUUAGUGCACCUGGUGUCGUUAGAUUCGAGUAGUAUGUCACAUUAAAUUUUUUUUUUCUGUGCAUGCAUUUUUUUUUAAAAGAAAAUUUUAUAUUGUUAAAGAGCGAGUUCGAAACUAUUACAUUAUGGAAGGACAUAGUACCGAAACUCCGACGAUCAAAAACAAAAUCAUGUACAACCACUCCAAGCAGUCAACAUGGCCAUCACAUAUUGAAUCCAAAAUGUUGACGCCCCAUUCGCUGCAUAUAAUGUACAGACGAGCGGCAGCUUCAACCAGUUCUGCCAUAUCCGGCUGGAUGAGAGCAGCUAAAGACAUGAUUGUUCCCUAAUAACAUGAAUAAAUUGAGUAAACACCAAAAGUAGCAGCAAGGGAAGGAGAUGUGAAGUAUAUGAAGAGGUGUAAGACCUGUGAAUGUCCAGCAACAAAGAUUUUGGAGCUUGUUGUCGAAUAAUGCAACGCAUCAUUUCUGGUAGAUCAAAUAGAGCCAAUUCCCGCCAACUCCAAUUCCAAAAUUUCUACAGUAAAGCAUAAAUCUUAUUCUCUCUUCUGAUAAAGAUGAGUGUCCCAGACUCCAACGUGUUCCACACACAUUCCCUACCCAUACAUCGAAACCUUCAUCUGCAAGGACGAAUCCCAGCGAUUCUUCUGGAGAAUUUAAGAAUCAUGCAUCACCUGGUUAAGAUCAAGAAAAGCCAGUAACCAAGUUCAAUUGAGUUAAAAUGUAUCCCAUGGAUGUUCAUCACUUUGCCCAAUUGUUCUUUUCAAGAAAGGAAAUUUCAACAGAACCUGAAAACUUCAGAUCAGGGGGCACCAAAUAGUGAGCUAUACAUUCAAAAUUUGAAAUAAUCAACUUAGUAGGACCAGUAUGUUGAAAAAAUGGGAAGGAGCUAUGAAAGUAAGACUUUUCACUAAUCAGGCGUCCAGAGAAUCCAUAUUUUACCCGCGUAUCAGUUACGGGGAACACUCCCCACCAGAGCAAUCUCAUUAGUCCUUCACAUCUCAACCGUACAGAAGUUGCACUAACAAACAUGACUCCUAUUAGUCCUUCACAUCUCAAAUCCAGGAAGUACCCAUCUUUCGUCUGAAUCUGGAAAAUAAGCAGCAGUCAAUUUAACAAUCUCGGUAUCUCAAAGUUACUCACUUUAAUCACAAAUUUAGCAAUUAAACAUAUAAAUGGGCAUUUUUUUAGGGAAAUAUUAGUAUAGUACUCACUGUGUGCUCGGAGCAAGAGUACCCAGAAAGCUCAAUGAGCUGCGCACAGAGGACUGCAGUGGUGAACGACAGCGACCAAUUCUGUAAAAUUUAGUCGAGUUUUGGGAAAUUUCUGCAGCGAUUUCGGAGGUCAAGAGGCUGAUAAGGAAAGCCGCGACCAAAGGGCACUGGUCUGGAAGAAAGGCUUUGGUCGCCGCUAUCGCAAUUCGCGAAGGAAGAAGUGCCCCAAAACAAUUUCGGCCCUGGACAGGUGCACUGUUUGCACUGAGCCAGGGCCGGCCCUGAAUCGCGAUAACGUCCUUCUCCAAACAGUAUAUAUACAGAUGCUAGAAAAAUCUACCGGAACUAUUCAAUUCUAGCGUCUACAGCUUUAGCAUUAGUUGGUACAAGGGGCAUUCUUCCAAAGAGGGAGAUGAAAUCGUUGAGGCACCAAAUAGUGAGCUAUACAUUCAAAAUUUGAAAUAAUCAACAUGGUAGGACCAAUAUGUUGAAAAAAUUGGAAGGAGCUAUGAAAGUAUGGCUUUUCACUAAUCAGGCGUCCACAUAAUCAAUAUUUUACUCACAGAUCAUUUACGGGGAACACUCCCCACCAAAACAAUCUUUUUAGUCCCUCACAUCUCAAACCAAGUAGAAAUUGCAGUAACAAACACAUCUCAAACCCAGUAAGUACCCAUCUUUCGUCUGAAUCUGGAAAACAAGCAGCAGUGGAUUCAACAAUCUGGGUAUCUCAAAGUCACUCACUUUAAUCACAAAAUUAACAAUUAAACAUAUAAAUGGGCAUUUAUUUAGUGAAAUAUUAGUAUAGUACUCACUGUGUGCUCGGAGCAAGAGUACCCAGAAAGCUCAAUGAGCUGCGCACAGAGGGACUGCAGCGGUGACGACGGCAACCGAUUCUGUAAAAUUCAGUCGAGUUUUGGGCGAUUUCUGCAGCGAUUUCGGAGGUCAAGAGGCUGAUAAGGAAAGCUGGGACGGAAGGGCACUGGUCUGGAAGAAAGGCUCAGGACACCGCUGUCCCGAUUCAUGAAGGAAGAAGUGCCCCCAAAACAAUUUCGGCUCUGGACAGGUGUACUGUUUGCACUGGACCAGGGUCGGCCCUGGCGAUAACGUCCCCCAAACAGCACAUAUACAGAUGCUAGAAAUAUAUAAAUGUAACCUGAAACUACUAGAACCAUUCAAUUCUAGCGUCUACAGCUUUAGCAUUAGUUGGUACAAGGGACAUUCUUCCAAAGAGGGAGAUGAACUCAUUGAGGCUCUUAUUUAUUCCUCCUCUUGAUGUGCCCUUUUAGGCUGCUAAUUCCACACGAUCCAAUUUCAUACAUCUUCCCUGCAAAAGCAUGUGUGCCUGACUUCAAGAUCAAAUUUUUCCAACAAAAGAAACUUAAAGAUCAAACUCGCUAGCGGAAUAAGUGGUGCACAAGGGUGUUAAAAUCUUGACAUAUGUAUAUUUUUGGCAGAUUUUAUGUGAGCAUGCAACUAAAACUGGCAUCACUAUCAAUGGUGCACAAAGAUUGGUGGAAAACUUUAACAGUUUGAGUUGUAACUUCUCCAUUGUAUUUGUUAAGGCAAGACGGAUGUCAUCUAUUCAUUUUUCUGUAAAACUUAAAAGGCUGCAUAGCAGCUCUUGUUCGUUGUAUUGAAUACCAUGGUUUUACUGAUGAAUGCAGAGUUUGCUGAUGAUUCAUACGACAAGCAAUUGAAAAUCCCAUCAUUAUGCCCCGCAUAUACCAGAAGAAAAAAAAGUCAUUUACACAAAUUCAGAGCGUUCAUCCACUGUAAUUUGCAGAUAUGGAAACGUUAAGAUAAAAGGAAAUGCAAAGUACCUUUCACCCAAAUUGGAGGAGCAACGGUGGCAUUAGCAAGCUAGCAACGGGAAUUGACAUACCAAUAUCUUCACAGUUUCUGCACAAGAACAAAUCAAAAGAAUCCGGCGGUGGAGUUAUGUACCUCUCCUUGGAAAAUGCCACCUCCUGGGAUUUCAAAAUAUACGGCCGUGGCUAGCCGUCUGACCACGCCAAUUCCACCAAAGCCGCCGCAACGUGGCGUAGUGUCCGGUUGAUUGCUUCAAAACAGAGCUUCGUAUCCAUGUGUUUAUCAGCAGAGAGUACCCAAAACCCCUGAAAAUUAUUUCUUUAUUCAGAUAAUAAAAUUUCCCAAAUUUCGAAUUUUAAUUCCGAACAAAAAAAAUAGGGUUUGAAUUUUGAUUACCUAGAAAUUGGGGGGUUGGGGUGGAGAGGGACUCGGGCCAAGACACAGAUAUGCAUCCGUGAUAAGGUGUGCAAGGCUUUUGCAGUUUCUCAGAUCUAAACACUGAAGCCCCGUAAGCCGUUCAAUCCAGGGGGAAAGCUCUUUAAUAGAUGUUCCAUCCAAGAAAAGAAAUCUUAAUCCUUCCAUAUUUUCUUCAAUGCUUGGAAACACCUCAAAUUUUGUACAACCGGAAAGAGAGAGAAAGGCAAGGGACUUCAGCUGACAAAUGCUACUUGGAAGACUCUUAAGUUCUUUACAAUUUUCUAGCUUCAAAUGAUUCAAUCCCAUGAGAUUAUUAAUUGAUAAGGGCAGUUCUUUAAUUUUCGACCCAGAUAAAUCAAGAACUUUUAACCCCUCAAUCACUUCUGAAAUCUCUGGAAACAUCUCAAGACUCCAGCAACCAUAAAGAUCAAAGGUUUUGAGAGAUUUCAUAUGAAUGCUGCUUGGAAGACUCUUAAGUUCCUUGCAAUCUUGUAGAUUCAAAUGACACAACCUCGUAAGAUUAUUAAUUGACGGGGACAGUUCUUUAAUUUUUGAGCAGGGUAAAUCAAGCUUUUCUAACCCCUCAAUACCUUCUGAAAUCGAUGGAAACAUCUCAAGACUGGAGCAGCCAUAAAGAUUAAAGGUUUUCAGACAUUUCAUAUGAAUGCAGCUUGGAAGACUCUUAAGUUUCUUGCAAUCUUUUAGGUUGAAAUGACUCAACCCCGUGAGAUUAUUAAUUGACAGGGGCAGUUCUUUAAUUUUGGACCCGGAUAAAUUAAGCUCUUCUAACUCCUCCAUACCUUCUGAAAUCUCUGGAAACAUCUCAAGACUGGAGCAGCCAGAAAGAUUAAAGGUUUUGAGAGAUCUCAUACGAAUUUUGCUGGGUAGAAUCUUAAGUUCCUUGCAAUUUGAUAGGUUCAAAUGACACAACCCCAUGAGAUUAUUAAUUGACUCGGGCAGUUCUUUAAUUUUGGACUCGGAUAAAUUAAGCUCUUCUAACUCCUCCAUACCUUCUGAAAUCUCUGGAAACAUCAGAAGACUGGAGCAGCCAAAAAGAUUAAAGGUUUUGAGAGAUCUCAUACGAAUUUUGCUAGGUAGAAUCUUAAGUUCCUUGCAAUUUGAUAGGUUGAAAUGACUCAACCCCAUGAGAUUGUUAAUUGACUCGGACAGUUCUUUAAUUUUGGACCCGGAUAAAUCAAGCUCUUCUAACCCCUCAAUCACUUCUAAAAUCUCUGGAAACAUCUCAAGGCUCACGCAGUUAAUAAGAUCAAGAGUUUUGAGAGAUUGCAUACGAAUUUUACUAGGUAGAAUCUUAAGUUUUUCGCACCCAUUCAGAUCCAAUAAAACAAGUUUUGUAAGAUUCGAAAUAGAUGGGUGAACCUUAACUAACCCUAUACAACCAUGAAGAAUUAGCCUCUCAAGAUUUGGCACAUUUGUGAAGUCAGGGGUUUCCUUAAGGUAUUCACAAUAACUUAAAUUGAUGAAUUUCAACUUUUCCUGCGUCUGUUAAAACAUUCAGGAAAACAUGCAUUACUUAAUAAGACAUCUCACUCAAAGCCCAAACAUUUAAAAGAAACAAAUACAUGUAAAUGAUUGUACAUACCUGGGUUCCUUCCCAAAGUCGGUCAAUGUGGCUAUAUUGCAUGUCAAGUCCAACAAGAUUUUCGAAUUGAAAGUUGGAUGGCAAAGACUUGAGCGGGAAACAAGACCAGGAAAGAAACCUCAACUCACUAGAAACAAACUUUAAGGACCCAGUCAGGUGUUGUAUGCUGAAAGUACCGAUCUUGAGAAGUCUUAGUUUAGUCAUCCUAUCAAAAGCUUUAACAAUUAAGCAUCCCUCAUAUGAGUGCCCCAAAUCUAGGAUUAUGCUUUCAACUGUUUCUGUACCCUGUGCAAAUCAAAGGGAAGGAAAAAGCAGAGAACCUUAGUUUAGAUUAUGAAGUUAAUGCUUGUUUCUUAAGGAGUUGUUUGAUAAUAAUUUUGUUUUCACUUUUCACUUUUGUUUUGAUUAUUUAUUUAGAAAUCUGAAAAUUGAAAACAUAUAACUUGUUUGUAAUUGUUUUCAAUUUUCAAUUAUUAAAAAAAUGAAAAUUUAAAAAUAUAAAUGGAAACAAAAGUGGUUAUCAAACGAGCUUAAGAAAUUGAUUUUGGUCAAAAGUUGAAGCUUUCUACUAAACAUUGCAUAAGAAAAGAAAUUAUCACCGUAUUUUUAGUUAUCACAUGAAAAACAUCUUCAUAACUCCACAACCUACUUCGUCUCCCAGGCUCUUUGAUAGAUUCUUGGUAGACGAUUUUCUGACCCAUUUCCUCUAGUAAAUCAUGCAUCUCCAGUUCCCCCCUCCAUGAGACAGUUACUAGAGCUCGAUCGAUUAGAACUUUUAUUCCAAUAUCAGGAUAGGAACCACAGCUGUGCAGAACUGUGGUUGCAUAGUCUUUUCUCAUUCCUUUAAAGAAACAUGCAAUAUCUAGAAAGAUAUCCUUCUCCGUGUCAUCUAGUCCAUCGAAGCUUGUUUUAAGCACAUCAUGAAUUCCCUUUUGCGGGAUUUUCUUUAUUUUUUCUAACUCAUUUUCCCACUGGCGUACAUUUUUGUUAUAAAGAAAAGCUCCCAAGACUUUGAGUGCUAAAGGCAGACCUUGAGCAUAAUUUACAGCACGACUCGAGAUCAUCAUAAUCUCUGUUGGGUUGGUUUUUUCUAAAGGCGUACCGCCUAAAGAGUUCCAGAGCUCCAUAAUCACUUAAAAUCUUGGGAUUAUAUAUCCCAUCAGCUAUGCUUAGUAAUUGCGAAUCUCUGGUUGUUAUAAUAAUUCUGCUUCCACCACCAAAGGAAUGUGGCUCUCCAAGUAAAGCUUCAAUUUGUUCUAAUUCUUCCACAUCAUCAACAACAAUAAGAACUUUUCUCCGACCUAGACUAUUUAACAUCACCUGGAAACCUUUAUUCGAAACGUCGGAACUCCCCACCCUGUUGUUCGAGAUACUCGAUAGAAGUUCUGCCUGCAUAUGUAGUUUGCCAUGCUUCAUGAAACCUUCCUUGAAAUUUUCAAGAAAGCAACAAGCUUUAAAUCCACCAGAGAUUUCAUUAUAAAUAGCUCUAGCGAUGGUUGUUUUGCCUAAACCACCCAUACCCCAUAUUCCAACAAUGCGAACAUCAUUAGUUUCAACUCCAGGAGGAUGCAGUAAUGAAUGCAUGUUAUGCAUAUGAGAGUCCAUUUCAACCAAGCCAUUAUAUUUGCUUGAGGAUGAUGAGAUGUAUCGCCGACCCCACUUAGUGGGAAAAGGCUUUGUUGUUGUUGUUGUUGAUGAUGAUGAUGAGAUGUGGAUCAAUUUCUUAAAAACAUCUUCUACAAUUUUCUCAAUAAGCUCUGCAUCAUCCCUGUCAAAUUUAAAACACAAUAUAAUUACAACACCAAAUGAUACUUAAUGGGUCGUUUUGAUAACAAUUUCGUUUGCAAUUUUUUUUAAAUCUAGAUUUUAAGUUUGCAGAUUUUGUUUUCAGUUUUUAGUUUCAAUGAAAGUAGUUAUUAAACAAGGUUUCCAAUUUUUCUUUCAUGGUAUACAGUACGUAGUCCCAAAUAUCAGUAGUUAGAUCUUGCAUUUAGAUCUAAUGGGUAUUUACAACCUUUUUUCCUGAGAAUUUUGUACCAUUGUAGCCAGAUCACAUGUUUUCAUCCGUUAGUUUUAUAAAAAUGGAAACUACAAACUUAAAAAAAAAAAAAAAUAUAUAAUAUAUAUAUAUAUAUAUAUAUAUCAAAUGGCCCCUAAAUGCUAUUAAAAAUCUCAAAAAUUAACAGGAAACUAAAACAAAUUAGAAUUUAUUCAUGGUUUCGCAAAUCCCAGCCGGAUAAACUGGUGGCCGUUGUAAGAGAGGACCUCCAGCCGGAUAAACAUUUUCGAGUUAUUUGAUAUUUGUAUAGUAAAAAUACUUUAAUAGCAAGUGCGCGUGAGUGAAGAAAUUGAACUUACUUAUAUUCUUUCGAAUCCCAACCGGAAAAAUUGCAGGCUCUGGGAAGAGCGGACCUCCAGCUCUGCACCUCCUUCACGUCAACGUUAGAACGACCUUCAUGUUUAGCAAAAGCUUCUGCAAAACUUCCCUCGAGUUUACGAAUAUUGGACGGAUCGACUUGGUAGAAAAUGGGGAAUACAAUCUGGUUCUUGGAAUGGUUGCAUUCCAAGAUUUCCACGAGUUCUUUCAAGCACCAUGUGGAUGAAGCAUAGUUUUGAGAGAAAACUACAAUCGAAAUCCUUGACUCUCGAAUCGCUGUCAGGAGCUCGGAAAGGCGGUCGCCUUUUCUGAGGUCUUCGGCAUCAAUGAAGGUGUUGAUUGGUUUCUGACGCAGAGCUUUGUAGAGAUGGCUGACGAAGCCCGUGCGAGUGUCUUCCCCUCUAAAACUGAUGAACACAUCGUAUUCCCAACCAAGGCAAGAAGAAGAAGAAGAAGCAGCCAUUAAUCGAUCUCACCUGGGCAGCGAUGAUCGAGCAGCUAAGACUAAGAGAAUUGUAAGUACAGAAACACUCAAUAGAUCUACAAAUUGGAUCACCAGAAAUUAGUCAAUGAGUCAAUGCAAAAGGGAAAAGGGCAAUUAUGCUUUUUGCGUUUUCACAUCUUCUUCAGGAAAUUUCGGUGUGAAAGGAAUCCGCAUACUUUUGAUUUUUCAACCCAAGAAAAUGCGAAGAAAGGGGACAAAGUAGUAAAUUUAAUCUACAGUUAGUUACCUACUCAAUAACCUCUUGAUUUAAUAUAUAUUUAAUUGGGAAAAGUAGUUUAGAGCAAGGAUGUUAUCUCCUUUUCUUCUCUCUCGAUCAGUCAAUCUUCCCGCGUGCGAUUUAAUCAUGAUUAAAGCUAAGCUUAAUCUUAGGUCGUAUUAUUUAGGUCUAAUUGGAUUCUUAAUUCUUGUGAUAUAGUAGUUGGAAGAUUAAAAAAAAAUUAUGAUUUAAACGUUUGUGAUGAAGUCUGUUACGAUUUAAAUUCAAAAUUGAAAAUUUCGUUAACUCCAUUAAUUGUUAGCACAUGAGACUCACAAAUGAAACUAAAAAUAUAAAGUUAGCCUCACAUGUAAUCUUCACGUGCUAACAAUUAAAAGAGAGUUCCGUUUUAGCUUAAUAUAUGUGACUCACGUGUUAAUAAUUAACAAAAUAUUAACAAAAAUUUUAAUUUUAAGCAUAAAUUCAAAUAAACUUCACCACAUAAGCUUAAAUUCUAAUUUAGAUAUCUUCUAAUUUAGAUAAUUUUUAACUGCAAGAUGUACGAUGAACGGAUAUAAUUCACAAAUCUCCAAAAUCCUUACAAAAAAUAUCCGAAAAAGAGCCAAAUUCAAUGGAAAUAAGCUAAUUUUGAAUCAAAUAACAUUACUUUAUUUUGUAAAUAAAUUAAUUUUGAAUUGAACAACAUUCAUUUAUUAUGUAAGUAAUUCAUUUUGUAUGUAUCAUCAUAUAUAUUAGGCACAUUUUAUCAUAGGUGAUUUUGUGAAAAAUUAAUAAAAAGUUACAAUAUUAACAAUAGAUCAAUAAUAUUUAUGUUAAUUAUAAAUAGGCUAACCAUGUAUUAUGAUACUUAAAUGCAUUUAAAAUAAAUAAAAAUUACAAAAUCUACUACUACAGCUAGCAUUCACUUCAACUAAAGCAAUACGUAGUUUUUAUAUUUGGAAUAAGUCAUACGAAUCAGAGACAUGAAGAGGUGUAAGAACUGUGAAUGUCCAACAACAAAGACUUCGGAGUUUGUUGUCGAAUAUCUGCAGCGCAUCAUUUCUGAUAGAUCAAAUCGAGCCAAUUCCCGCAAACUCCAAUCCCACCACCACCUUUCAAGCCGGACUCAGCCCUCCGGGCGGCAUUUGGCAGGACAGCACUGGAUCAAACAAGAUUGAGACUGGCAGUGGGAGCAAUGAACGAGCACACUCAGCAGGGAAGUCCAUCAUGGGUUCUAACCACACAUUGUUUCUCUACUUUGUGGCUUCCAACACGAUUGGAUUUUUUGUUUCACUUUACAUGAUCAAUGUCCUCACCAGCAAUUUCCCUCUGCAGUUGGAGCUUCAAAUUUGUAUUGUCGCGAUGUACAGCACGUACAACACUGCAGUUUUCAGCAUUGCACCGGAGAACGUGCGCUUCUUCGUCCUUCUGUUCUCUGUAGUUUUCCCAACUUUGGUUACACUUGCUGUCCAAAAUGAUCGUCUUUCGACAUACAUCACAAUGGCGAUCUUUAAUCAUAAUGACUUGUACUGCUCGAUCAAACGAGACGCAUGGAGGCGCGACGUAGGAGCCACGGUGCAGCCCAAACUUUGCAGAUAAGAAAUCUGGUAAUUCACAGCAUCACAAACAUGUUACUGGGUCUCCUGACCAUCGUAGAUGCCAAUGUGUGCACAAGGAAAGGAGUAAGGUAAUCAAAUGCUUGAGUCUUGUGUACCUGUUUCGGUGUUGGUUCGGAUGAACCCAUUGAGUUCUCGAUCCUUAACUUCUGGAAAUGCUCCUGAAAGCAUAAAUAUAUGUACGGAUUUAAACCAAUGGCAAAUGGACAUAAUUUACGGACAAUGAUUGAAGAAAAUACAGAUAUAAACGCCUCAGUAUUCCAUUGACGAAAGUUCUAGAUUUGAUGAAUCAAACGUCCCACGUUGAGACUGCGUUAAGGCAAAUGGUUCUCAAACACAAAGCAAUAGUUUGCUACCGAAAACAACCAAAGUCUGACAAAGGGAACCGUCUUACACCUAACCUGUUUUUCCCUCAUCAAAUGAGCGCGUUGAUCUGCAGGUAUUUUCUGCCAUCUCAAAACCUGUUACAAAGAAAUAUAACGUUGAUGUUGAGCUGGAUAGCAUAUUAUACCAAUUAUGUGUACAAACCUAUUGAAAUAAAGUAGCUGUAGUUGCAUAUUACGACAGAUAUUAACGAAAACAAAAGAAGGCUCGCCUAUUCAAGAUCCUAAAUCCCAUGAUUCUUUUGUUUUUAGUUUCAGAAAUUUUCAGAGCACAAACUGGAAAGUACCAAGAUACUUACAUAUUGGGCAUAAUGAAAUGCAUCUUCAUCUUUCAAGCAAGAUUUCAGUGAGCGCAAACCAUCCUGGGAGUUACAUAAGUCAAUCAGUAAUAUAAAAACGUAGAUGCAUCACAUCCAAACACAAGUAUUCAAACACCAACAACUUCUUCAUGCGGUGAGGCAUGUUAAAAAAUAGGGAAGAACAGUUAUUGAAUAGGAAGUUAAAGGACUAAAUUUAUGACCUUGUGUUUGUAGUUCUUGGCUCGUAUGCGUUCAUCUAUUACAAAACCAAUCUGUAACAGGUACAACAGAAAAUAUAAGCAGUAGUCAGAACAUUAAGCAUCGGCAUUCAAAUUGCCGCCAAUCCAAAGUUAAAAGUCUAAAGGCAAAACAGUAUGAUUCUUAUCUCUCAAACAAAAAUGAAACUAUACCCCGGUCUCAGACAUAAAUGAAAUAAGUUCUACUGCCUCAACUGAGUACUGUGAUUAUAUAUAAAUCCAAUUCACCUUGUCAAGUAAUCUCUUAGGAUCUUGAAAUGCUUGCUUCUUAGCCCAGUCAUUAAAUACAUGCGAGAUAAUCGAUCUCUCAUCCACACUGAAUCUAUUGCACAGUGACAGGAGAAUAAAGUCAAACAUGAACAUAACCAACCAAAAAUGCUAGUUAUAAUAGUACACCCAUAAUUGCAAGCAAAACCUUUUUAAGAAGCCAUUUCCAUGGUUUUCCUCCCCAAAUUCCAUCAAUUCUGCAGAGGCAACGUCAAAUUUACUAUGAUGGAGAUCAUUUUGCACCAUAACAACUUCAGAAGGUAGGAGAUUUGGUUUGAGAUCAUCUGUUGACGGAGUAGUUUCUUUUGAAGUGUCAUGAUGCUUUGAUUGCAAGCCUUCUGUACUUACGUCAGCCUACAAAACAAAAAUUGCAUUCAUCCACACUAGACUUAAUAAGAUUAGAAACACUUCAGAUUCUUCACUAUUUGUAAGUUUGACUAAACAGCAGAACAACUGAGGAUAAUGAACAGUAAUACACACCUGGACUUCUCGUAGAUGAUUUGGAAUUUCUUUCAGAAAUCGCGAAGGUUGAAGCAUCUGAAGGAGCCACCUUCUCAGUCAGAGCAACAACAACAAAUAAGGAGGACAGGAAUUCAAGCUAAAACGAACCUGCCAACUGGAAUCCAUCGUAACAUAAAGAAUGAAAAGCUUUUUUCGAGCACGAGUCAUUGCAACAUAUAAUAGGCGUCUUUCCUCCUAUGAUUAGAGUGGGAUUAUUGAGUUAUUGACCAAAAGAAAAAAGAGUGGAAUUAUUGUGACAAACACUUCAAAGCUCUGCAUAUAACUGAAAAAUGUUGAACAAUUUACCACACACCUCAAUGGAGGUCCCAUUUUCUUUUGCAACGCCAUUGAAUUCAUGCAACAACGGAAUCUCAGAUUCAUUUACCUGUGUUAUUGGCAUGAGCAUUAAAGCAAGCUAAGAUGAUUUGAAGAGGUUGAUAUUGUCAUGAAUAUAGUAGAAUAGAAUACCAAUUUCAAGCCAUCAAUUAGGUAUAGCAUUGGCAUGUUUAAUCCGUAAAUCUAAUGACAGAACACCUCAACUCUACACAUAAAUAAAUAAACAACCUGAAAAAUAUUACAGCCACUUGUUAAGGCAAAUACCUUAAUUAUGAAAACUAUAUCCCACUCUAAACCUUUUGACUGCAAGAGAAUGAAAAAGAAAGACAGUAAGCCAAGAAUGUUUUGUAGAACUCCAAAGGAAGUCCAAUAGGGAAAUCAUCGCAAGUAUAAGAGUUAGCGAGGUUCGCAUAAGAGGAUAUCAAAAAGAUCUAGAACCUGAUGAAUAGUAGUCAAAGUGACAGAACUUUGGUUGUCAUGUCUUCGGGAGUGAAAAUUUUCACUCUCCCGCUCAGAUAUGUAGUCGAUGAAAGCUUUGAGUAAAUUAACGCAGCCUUUUUCUUCUGCUACGACUUCUCUCUCCCCUUUUCCCGCAACAAAAUGAGUUGAUAAGAAAUCAGAUACGUCGUCUAGUAGGUACUGAAGAACCUGCAAUGAGAAUAAUCGCAUCAAAACAACAGGGUUGGACCAAGAUUUAAGUGACAACAAUGAUUAACUAACUAAAAUAGAGAAAUUAUUCAUUUAAGACCUUGUUGACUGAAAAAAGGGUUUUCCAAGCAGCGGGUCAUUUAAGCUUAUUGUAUAAAUGACAAUCAUCACAAACGGCAAACUUACAGAUCUCACGUCAUUGUCUUCAUUCAGCAGUUUUCCUCCAUCUACAUCAACGACUGCACGUUGCUCAAGAAGGUACUUCUAAAAACUGAAAGUCAAACGAUAAAUUAUUAAGAAGCAUUGAAUAUAAGCAUGAAACGAAGAAAAUGUUAUGGAAUGGUGAUCCUCAUCCUCAAAGAUGAUUAAAAGCAAUUUGAUUCAAAAAUGACAUAUCAACUCUGGAGAAAUGGAAGACAAACCUGUGGUACCAUAUUCGCAACUGAGGUUAUGACAGCUGAAAUCGAUUGUUCCUGUGUGCAUUGAUAAGUGAGACUACCAUAGAGAUUCACAACUAAAUAAAGACAGGUAUUCCACAGAACAACCUUUACCUCUUUGGAAACACAGAUCUAACAAAAACUAUAACAUUUUGGAUUAAUAUUGACGAAUCAAGAAUAAUGCAAGGGAGCAAGAGAUACUCUUCCUUCUAAUAACAAGGAGGCGUGAAAAGUUUACAGAGUUCCAACAAUUAGAGAACUAAAAUCAAACUAAAAAAAUCACCAAAGUAGACAGAAUCCCACUUCGCCAAAAAUUUGAAAAUAUAUCCUUUUUAUCCAUUGAGAUUCAUGAACUACUACUACUACAUCAUGCCAAUAAGCAAUGCGUAAGAGGUGCUACAAUUUACCGAAUAUAUUUACCCUGAGAACAAGUUUUGAAAUCAUCUCUAGUGUUAACAGCACCUUGCGUCCUUGGGUAAGCUGAGUCCUAUUAUCAAGUAAAGAGACCAAUCAGUACAUAUCCAAAAGAUCUUAAAUGCUUGUAAUACCAAAUAAGAAAGAAACAUGAGUAUAUCUUGAAUUAACAAUGCAAAAAUGUAAUGUUAAAGCAUCUUGUCAUACAGACCUCUUCAAGGUACCAGAAAUUUUGGCACUAAAGAUGUCACAAGCAGCUGAUAUGAAGCUGCAUUUUCUGUGAGUUGAAAUUUUGUCAAUAUAAUCAAUCACCUGAAGAGAGAGAGAGAGAAAGACAGUGAUAUCCAGAGAUGUGAGCCUAAAUGCUGAGUGUGUAAAAAAAGAAGAUUAAAUGGAUAGCAAGAAUAUACAACUUUAAUGCUGAAAAGAACAUUGAAUAUGAUGCUCAUUCAUCAUUGCCAUUGAACGUGUACCUUCUUCUUUUCCUCUUUCUCAAAAGCAAGUAGAGCCUUGAAGACUCGCCUAUAUGAUCCAUCAUCACAACCAGGCAAAGUUGUUUUAAUCAUAGCAACAAUGGCUCUAACUACCUGCCAUAAGAAACAUGCUACAUCAACAAGAUCACAGAGUGUACCAGAAACCGUAAUGUAGCAAAAUCUUAGAUAAAAUAGCUGGCCAAAAGGGAAUGGAAAAGCAAGCACAAAAAACAAUGAAAAGGACCAGUGAUGCCAAAAUUCUGGUGGAAAAGGUGAAAAGCUUACGUCUAUUACAGUUCUUGUAUGCAUUCUUUAUAACUUAAGUUCUACGCAGCAAAAACCACCUUAUGCACAACAAUAUUGGAAAAAUUAGAUACAUACAACUGAGAAGAUAGGUUUUCAUAGCUGGACAAGUGCUAACUACCUUCUUCCUAUAAACUGCCACUCCAUGAACAUUAAAUGGUAUUUUCCUUUCACGCAAGGCUGUCUGGAAGACUUUUCCUGAUACCUGUAGUAUAAAAUACAAAAGAAAAUGUGAGCAAAAUGUCUUAUAUGAUUCACCUCAUUCACAUUAGCACUAAGGCAAGUACGCUUGACCUGCCUCCGGUAAAGGAUUGCUAUAUUUCCAUAGGAGCACCCUGCUUCUGACCGUUUAGAUGCAGUCUCCAGGAUCUUGUCGACAACAAAGGCGCAUUGUGCAUCCUCAUUGUGACUUUCCUUGAUAAUUACCUACAUUUUGCCAGUAAAACCGGUGUCACUAACUAAAAGGACUGAAAAAUGACAUCAAAUUGUACUUGUUGGAGCAAGGAAAGAUUAAGUACCUUAGACCCAGAAGAAUUGUCCGUGUCAACAUUCUUUAGUUGGCAUCGCUUCUUAUUGUUUUUUAUAACAGAAGAUGCAGCUUCCACAAUAUAGCGUGUGGACCGAAAGUUUUUAUUAAGCCUAAUCUGAACCAUAAAGUUAUGUCAAAUCCCACAGAACCCCAUAAAAUAAAACUUACUUUCCUGUAAUUGUACAAUAUAUUUGUUCUAUACUAUAUAUAAUGAAAAAAGACACUGUGAAUGACAUAAGAUAACAUAGCAGUCAAGUGCGAAGCGAACCUCUUUGUUAUUUGAAAAAUCUUUACGAAAAGAAUCAAAUCCAGAAAUGUCCGCCCCAUUGAAACUGAAAAUGGACUGCAGCAGGAUAUAUGUUAUUUGAUUUAGAAAAGAUAAGGGCUGGAUUAAAAUGAGCUGAGAGAGAGAGAGAGGGAGAGAGGGAGCAAUAACAUUGGAUUUCCAUAAUAAAUCAACAACAUGCCUGAUCAUCAUCACCAACAAUGGUUAUGUGGUUAUGAGAGGCGAGAAUCCGCAAAAGACUAUAUUGCAUAGCACUUGUGUCUUGAAACUCGUCUAUUACAAUAGCUUUCCAUGACUCCUGGCACUCCUUCAACACUAAUUAAAAGAACACCAUGUAUCAACAUUUAGCAUUACUUGUAAAACUAGAUAAAUCAAUGAAAUAUACUUAGAUGAUAGAGACCUUCAGGAAAAUCACUUAGCAGCUUCACAGAGCAGCUAAUUAAGUCGUGGUAGUCCAAAGCGUUGCACGAUUUCAAGAUAUCAUUGUAAUUCCUAAGAAUUUCACCCUGAUUCAGAUUGAGAGCUAAAACUCAUAAGCAAUAGUUUCAAAGAACUGAAAUCAUAUCUGAAAUUCUAGUUCUGAGCGUACUCCUGUCACAUCACCCAUUCUUCGGCAUUCAGCGGGAGUCUUUCCAGAAGCUUUUGCCUGAAACAUAAAUAAAUUUAUUGCCUAAUGCCACAUAUUGUAAGACACACCAUUGUAUUGGUCAUUCUAGCUUGAUUGUAGCUAAUAUUUUUUAAAUCGAAUGAUUAGAGUUCUUAAUCCACAAUAAUCUGAACAUUAAAUUUGGUAUUCAAGACUGACCUGUGUCACAAACUUCAGCCAUUUCUUUGAUGCAUCCUUAAAAUGAUGUGGAGAUGUUACGCCGUUAGACUCUUCCCCAUCUAUAGCAACAUUAAGAUUCGUUUUACUCUUUUCAUCUUCUGAUAAACGCACAGCUUCAAUGAUUGCUCUUCUCUGUUGCCCAUGUCCAUAUAUCAAAAAUUCUGGUCUGCGCUCGAGUCUAAAACACAAGGCAACAUAACAGACUCAGCUAUACCACCAUAUGUAUGGUGUUCAAAAUCAAGGGAGGUGAAUCAAUAGCUUACUUCUCAGCAUGUGAUCGGCAAAGUUGCAAUGAAAAUGAAUGAAAUGUACUGAUUGUUAGUAGUUUGCCGUUGCUUUCCCAGUCACAGAUCCAAUUCGAUCUCUCAUCUCGGAAGCUGCUGCUGUAGUGAAAGUCAUUGCUAGAACGUUCGACGUGCUAAUGCCCUAAGAACACCCAAAAAAAAAAAACGAAUAAGAUUUCGAUCAUAAACAAGAAAUGUAGAGAAACAGACAAUUAUGAAAGAAAAAGUUAAGAGGGAAAGUAGCAACACCUCAUUGAGCAGCAUUAGAACGCGCCCAACUAUCGUUGAAGUCUUUCCACUUCCAGGGCCGGCAACAAUCAUCAAAGGUACUGAACUAUCGCUGCAAGCUGCCUCGAGCUGCCUUUCGUUGAGAGAAAGCAAAUACUUCAAAUACUCAUCCGGCAUGUUAGGCAAUCCAUGGUUAACAGAAUCUGUUUGGUUUUCACUACUCAAAGGCGGCGCUGAUGCGGCACUAACGACACUACCACAACUCCCAAUAUCAUCACGCUGAAUGUCCACACUCGUUUUCUGCUCGAUUAAAGCGUCAAUUUCCUGCAAAAUACUCUCAUCGAAAUCAUCAUCGUUAAGAAUUCCAGAUGCAGAGAAAGAAUCAAAUGAAGUCAGAAACUGCGGUUGUCUGAUUGGAGUUGUGAAAGAAUCCGAUUUUGACACGCUUGAUUCGGUCCGGCUAACGCUUAAGCUCCCGGAACACGAAGCACUGCCAUAUUCACCACGCGCUGAAUUGUACCGGCUUGCGGAAAUCGGAGGCGGUGUUCUUUGAACUCUAUUGAGCUGAGUUGGCGUUUGGAUUCCAUUUCCGCCACAGAUUCUGGAAUUUGAAAAACACAAUUGAAUUGAUUUAAAUUGAAGCAAGAAAACGGCCGAGUAGCAAAAAAAUAGUAAGAAGAUGAAACCUUUGAUUCCUGAACGACUUACUUGGUAUGAGGGAGGUGAUGAUCAGGUGAAACGGCGUCGUUGCGGGGGCGUUUGCGAUCAAUGAGGGCCUUGGCGGCUCUGCAAUUCCGAGAGAUGCGGUUUCUUUGUUCCGCCGUGAGCCCUCCGCCGUACGCCUGAACGUUUUCCUUGGACAUUGCUUCGAAGAUUCCAACGGAGGAUUUGGCCUGACGGCCUGACCAGGCUGAUAACAGUGUAAAACCUUAGGAGCUAAGGAAAAACUAAGAGAGAGAUCGUAGAGAGGGGAAAGUUUUUUGUUUUUUGGAAACUUAGAGAGGGAAAGUUUGUUAAACCUGCAUAAUAUUCUUUUCGUUCAACUUGUCUACAAUAAUUACCACUCUUGGUAUUUAUACAUUUGUAACACACCUCACUAACUAACUAAGACCACUACCAAUCAUACAUAAACACUUGUCAUAAUCCUAUGCACUCAUAGUAUCAUCACUCUAACAUCCCCCUCAAGCUCGUGUGGCAGAUUGCCAAGUAUGAAAUUGGAACAAUUACGAGUGAACUGGGGUGAACACAAGCCUUUGGUGAACAUGUCGGCAUAUUGAUCUGCAGAGGUAACAAACUGCAAAAUAAUUGUCCUUCGAUGAACUCUUUCACGAACAAAGUGGCAAUCAAUCUCUAUAUGUUUGGCUUUAGAGUGCAAUACAGGAUUAGUCGCAAGAGCCAUUGCUGAAAUGUUAUCACAAUUCAAAACUGGAACAGAAGGAUAACCAACAUGCAAAUCUCGAAUAAGUUGUUGUAUCCAGAUAACCUUAGCAGUGGUUGUAGCCAUUGCUCUAUAUUCAGCUUCAGUGGAAGACCUACUCACUGUAUGCUGCUUUUUAGAACUCCAAGAGAUAGGAGUAUCUCCCAAAAAAAUGACAAAACCCGUGGUUGAACGACGAUCAUUGGGAUCCCCUGCCCAAUCAGCAUCUGUAUAAGCUUUCAACUAAGAUGAACCUAAUUUAAAACACAAUCCCAAAGACAUAGUGCCUCUGAGAUAUCGCAGAAUACGUUUCACAGCAGCAAAUAAGUGGCUAAGGGUGAAUGCAUAAACUGACAUACUUGAUUGACAUAAAAAGAAAUAUCUAGUCUUGUAAAUGUUACGUAUUGCAGUGCCCCAACAAUACUUUUAUAAGUGGUAGGAUCAGAAACAGGUUCACUACCAUGAUUCAGAAGCUUCUAAUUAGGAUGACAAGGUGUGGGAAAAGGUUUAUAGUCCAGCAUAUGCAUAUUUUGAAGGAGUUCUUUGACAUACUUGGUCUGAUGAACAAAGAGUCCCUGAUCCUGAUACUCAAUCUGUAAACCAAGAAAAUAAUGCAACACACCUAGAUCUUUCAUGUCAAACUCACUAGUUAACUGACUAAUAACAUUAUGAACCUUCACAUCAUCAUUACUAGUGAGAAUGAUAUCAUCAACAUAUAAUAAGAGAACAAUAAUUGAUGAACAAUCACACUUGACAAAUAAUGAAGGAUCUGCAUAUGAGAUUGAGAGUUACAAGGAAAAGAUAUACAAGACUUAUUAAGUGUUGCAAUGACAAUGGAAUGUGCAGGAUCGCCUAAUCAACAAUGCCACAAUGUAGAAGAAAUCUUUUGACCCACAAAUGCAACUGGAUUAAAAACAGGAGAAAUAGACCUCUGUGGUUUGAUAUGGGAAGUGGAUAGACAACAUUAUUACUCAGCCCUUGGAAUAGCACUCUCCCGAUGACCUUGUCCUAUAGACAGAGAGAAACAUCAUCAAUGAUACAACGACACUAAUUAUCUUUGCACAACUAAUUCAUAGAUAAUAAGUGUUGUGAUAGUUUUGGAACAUGUAACAAAGAGUUUAACUUGAAAUUAUGUGACUUAGUGAGAAGAGAAGAGGAACCAAUAUGUUUGAUAGCUAAACCUUCACCACUAGCAGUGGUCACAGUAUCAUUUGAUGGAUAAAUUUGUUGCCAUGUGCAAGUUUGACAAAUCUGAGGUCAUAUGGUUAGUUGCUCCCAAGUCAAGAAACCAGAAAUCUUGUUGAAGAGUUGAGGAUGAUGCACCAGCUCGUGCUUGCACAGCAAGAGGAGGAUUUUGUGAGGAUAUAAUUGAGAGAUACAUAUGUGGUAUGACAGGAUACUGAAACUCGAAGCUAUUAGACUGUGGAAUCAUGCCUUGUGAAAGACCACAUGGAUUCUAGCUAGGUGCUUCACCAUAUGACCCAGUAGGCAUUGGAGUUGGCAUAGACGAGGAUAAACCCUGAGAGAAAUGCUAUGAUGUGUCUGUGAAAUUCUUAUUCCGAUCAAAGCAAGUAGCAGCAACACGGCAGCCUCUGUGACAAAUUUGACAUCCAUGUUGAAAACAAUUCAAUGCAGAAUGACCUUUGCGAUCACAUAUUUGCAUAAUGGCCUCUGUGAUCACAUAUUUGCAGAAUGGCCUUUGCAACCCUAGAAAGAACAAGGCGCGAAGAAGACCAAAUGUGUACGUUUCUCUUUGUUUUUUUUUCCCUCCUAAUCGUGCUGUUCGAAAUCACGGACCUCGGGCUUGGGCCUAAUGGGCCCAAUUAUGAGGCCUAUUAUCUCCGGUCUUCUCGUUCUACUUCUAGUUACCCAAAUUAAGAACGUGCUGGUUCGCUUUUAGCGCGAGAGAGAAAUGGAGGCCCUGAUUGCCUCGUACGGAAACUCGUCGUCGGGCUCAGACUCCGAGACGCCGGCUCCACCUCCACCACCACCUCCGGAGCUCAACAACCCUCAAGAACCGACCCCUGCGCUGCCUCCACCUCCUCUGUCACUUCUCGACAGCCCCAAUUCCUUCGGUAACCUCUGAUUCCCAUCAAUUUUCAUCUUUUAGCUUUCUGUUGUGAUGGCUUUUUCCGAGUUGCCCACCAAGUGUUUGAUAUUUUGCCUCUGAAGGAUUUCUGGACUUCUCGGCAAGCGUCCAGCCGAGCAGAGUUCGGAACUUUCCUCACGUCGAAGGGAACUACGCAGUACAUGUAUACAUCCCAGGUUAUCAAAAUUCUCGAAAUUUUCAGCUCCAUUAGCAAAUGCGAUCGCUUUGCACUUAGUUUUUGCUUGUUUAAUUGUGUGGUUCCAGUUUAUAUACCACCAGCACCAAGGAAAGAGAUGGCCUUGUUUUUGAACAAGCUAGCUUCUCUGGUGCCUUGUCUCCAUGCGGUUGACGUUGACUUCCCGCUUGACAUUCUGCGUAAGGACGAGCACAAGCUUGAACAAGUUGCUUUAGGCAGAGAGUUCCAUAUAAGUCUCGGAAGAACUGUUCCGAUUCGGGUGCACCAGAUUGAUUCCUUGGUGACAAUGCUGCGGCAGAAGCUUCAGAUUCAGAGGCGGUAUGGUUACAUUUACAUUCUCUUGUCUGCAUUGCGUGAAUUUAGUUCUGUUAUUUAACAUAAUUCUGUAAGCCUGCAAUUUUUUCGUCCAUUUUCGGUUUAACACAUUUUGUUAUUGUGCAACAGGUAUUGGAUUGAUUUUAGCAAGUGGGAGGUUUUUGUUAAUGAUGAUCAGACCCGGACCUUUGUGUCUAUCGAAAUCAUUGCUGCUGGGUUAGCUGAGGUAUGAUUGCUAGCUUUCUCUCUUGGUGCAAUUCUAAAUGUUUUCAGUUGUUAUAUGGGCUUAAGAUUUAGUAAGGACUUGCCGAAAGUCAUGGGAUUUUGAAAUAUCGAUAUCUUGCUUGCUUAUUAGCUUAGAUUUGGUCUUCGAUGCACUUGUAACAUGAAAAACACAAACGAAAACUAAUGCAUGAUAUGCUCAUGGUUUUAACAUGUGUUGUCCUGGCGUAAAUCAUGUUCCUAAUCCUGUCAUGUGAGUAUAAGCCUAUGAAACUCAGGGCAUGUUUGGCGGGCCGGACAAGAUUGGAAUUGGUAUUUCAGACUAGUUAGGUUAGGAUUGAACUGGAUAGGAUAGGUUUUUUUGUCUAAAGAUUGGUGUAGACUGUCUUAACCAGACUAGGAACGAUGGGAUUUAAAACGUGAAACAGAUCCGCGACAUCCCAACGAUGACCCGCCCACCCAACAACUCUGCUCGUGACUUGCAACACCUCUCGUACCCUCCACGCCCCUUGAGGCCCGUCAGACCACUCUGAUAUCCUGGAGGGGUGAAACGUGGUUACUAGAAGCAUACCUGUUUUCGUAUUAAUGCACAGUUGAAGCAGCUUUCAUUGUCUACAAGUCUGAAAUAUUUCAACUUCCAUUGAUUUCAGAUAACAAAGCAGAUUCAAGCUGUGAAUGAGGUGUAUAAGCUUCACAAUCUUCCUGAAUUUUACAAGGUUAGCUUUUUCGUGCUUUUCAAACUCGAAAUUACUUACUGAAUAUAUGACAAUAUAUUGGAGCAAAUGAUUGUGCCUGAAUGCUACUCAUUGCUCAAAAAACUAAAUCACUUCAUGGGGUGUUGGUGAUCACAGGAUCCGCGCCCUCACAUCUCGGUAGCUUGGGCAUUGGGUGACAUCGGCAAUUCCCUGAAGAAAGUGGUUGAAGAAGAAAGACGAAGAUCUACCAUCGGAGGAUCGUUACAGAAAUGUAUUUUUACCAGUAAAUUCAAUGGUAUUGAAUGUAGGAUUGGUAAUAAAACACACAAAAUAUGUAAAUUUUCUGAACAAUAAUGUAGCCAUUUAACUAUAUUGUGAAAUUCCGAGAAUAUAUCGCUGAGCAUUGGAUGAGAAGACAUUUCUUCGUUGGUGUCGAACUUCAUGCCGAAGGUAUAGACACCGUGUAAACGCCAUCAUCCAUGCAGUCUCCUGUGCAUUAUUUAGUAUUGUCUCAGUUUCUCCAAACUUGAAUGCUCCUAUAAACCCACUCUUGACCUUUCCGUCAUCUGCGAUUACCGGAAAGCUGGCAAGGAUGUUGCCGUUAACCUACCUAACCGGCUAGGAUGUUGCCGUCAUCUCCAAACUUUAAAUACCGGAAAGCCGGCUCCAAACUUCAAUGUGCUACUAGUUUUUGUAUGCGAGAGCUCCACCUCCAUUGUUGUAACAGCAUCUGAUGCGGACUAGUCCUUCAUUCCCGUUACUCUUUGCUAUCUCCACUUCGAACUUGGCGUAAUGGCUCCCGGCCUCCUCUCCGGUGAAAUUGAGAAACCCCGGAGCUGGCGUUUUCAUUCUGUUGUCCGUAUAUCUUGUAUUACAAGUAUUUGUUGUGCAAAAUGCAAGCUAAGUUCAAUUUAUGUUUAUGUGUGUGUGUGUGUUGCCACUUUGUCACUUUUCCAACGUUUUCUCCAAAAUUGUGAUUUUGGUGAAUCCUAAUAACAAUUCCCUCGUUAAUCAUUGGGACGAGCACCAAGGCAGUUUUGAUUCCGUGCACAACGGCGAUACCUCGAAAGAAAUUGAUUCUAACCCAGAAAGAUGUUUUAAAUCAAAGUUGAACAAGGGAAGAAAACUUUUGAAUCGCAAUCACAUGUCUGGUCAAAUUCUUGAACAGUUGAUGUAUACAGACGUUCCUUGCUUAUGACACGACUUAUGAGAGGAUGUAUGUAUUGCAUUUGCAUCAAAAAAGAGAGAGAAGGUUGUAAGUGGUAAGGGAACGACUACCGAUGCCGCUCCACUUCUAAUCAAAGGGAUCGAUCCGAGGGUCGUGUUCACUUGCCAUCGCCAUUCCAGUGCAAAGGCAUGUCGGGCACAUUACCUGCCACAUUUACAGACGCAAUGUUAGAUAUAGCUGCCAUUUGGAAGUCACUUCUCAAAAUUUUGCUACUAAAUUAAUCUUAGACUUCAUUUCCAGUGCAAUUUUUUGCUACUAAAUUAAGCUUGUGAAUAUAGUACAUCUAAGCGGCAGGCACUAAAAGGAAUUUAGUAUGCAAUAAACAUUCAACGGACUAACCUUUCCCGCUCCUGAGCAAUUUGAACAUCGUUCAGUUUUUGGCAGAGAUAGGGGUUGGUUUCCGCCAUCAGCUGUCGAUACUGGUUCAGUAAGAACAAGGGUUCCAGUGCUGGAGCAACGAGCACAAGCAAGAUAUCCUGCGUAAGUAUCAAAUACACAGGUAAGUUGACAUAUGAAACCAAUCUGUGUAAACUACACUGUAAUAGCAGAAGAAUAUGCAGUACGAGAGAAAGAGAGAGAGAGAGAUUUAGAGAGAGAAGUUAAUACUUCAUAUGUAAUAUUUUCUAUAUCAUCAAUCUUACAAUAUUAAGACUAUAUACUAUAUGAAACUGCUAACUAACUCUAACAACCUCUCUAACAACCUUUCUAAUCUUUUGACAAGUGUCUUCAUAUUCUACCAUUGGAUUACUAUCCUUAACAUCCCCCCUCAAGCUCAGGAGAGGUAGAAUCCAAACUGAGAUUGCGACAAUGAAUCUGAAAGAGAGGAGCAGAUAAUCCCUUGGUCAGUAUGUCUGCAUAUUGCUCACUGGAAGACACAAACUGAACAAGCAACUGCUUCUUUGCAACUCGUUCGCGAACAAAAUGAAUAUCAACCUCAAUGUGCUUUGUGCGUUGAUGUAGAACUGGAUUGGAUUAAGCAAUUACUGACCUUUGUGCAUCUUACUAUUCCUACUUCACCAGUUUUGUAUUGUGAUAAUAUGUCAGCAAUCGCAUUAACAACCUCUCUAACAACCUUUCUAAUCUUUUGACAAGUGUCUUCAUAUUCUACCAUUGGAUUACUAUCCUUAACAAUCUGAACAUCUCCAUCGUAUAUAUUUAAAGCUACAGUACAUAAAACGAAAAGUCAGAAAUAGAGGACAUUAUCACACCAGUUCCAAGACAAUAUUUGCAUCGUUUAUGCUCCUGCUGUUUCACAUUGUUUAUUUCAACUACCAUCAAUGCUGAGAUCACUCCGACUGCUCCUCCAGAGAAUGACGCCACUAUGGGAUCAACUUGACUGCAGUUUGAAAGUAAAGGAGAUCAAUAAACAAAACUGUUAACAACAUAGUAUCAACAUUAUUUAGCUUCGUUUCAAGAAAUAUGACAUCCUAGGUUUUUCUAAUGUGUAAAAAUUGAGGAUCCUUGACUAUAUCGGUUCCCAAAGCAUUUGAUUCCUACGUUACAGACGGAAAACAGUAACAAUCGAAUUUAAAGAUUCAUAACACGAUAGAUGGUAGGUCUCGGGUUCGAGACUUGGGAGCAGCCUCUCCAUAAAUGGGGGUAAGGCUAGCCGACAUUCACCUCUCCCAGACCCUGCGUAAAGCGGGAGCCUUGUGCACUGGGUACGACCUUUUAUAACACGAUAGAUGGUACAAAUUUUCAAAACGAUAAUUACUAGAGAACAGGAGGGUUAAUAGCCUGAGAUAUGAGCAAUACCUCAACUGCAACGGCAGAUGCAUAUUUACUAUAAAGUCUUUAUAUGAUGUGCCUCCUAUUCCCAGCUUCAACUCCAACUGAAAGAUGUAAAGGUAAUUGUAGGCAAAGAGUUACAAACAUAACCGAAUCCAUGUUUUAUAAGCAACAACUACACUUAUUUUGUUAUGUUUCCUCAUUUUUUACUUGCAAAUUCCGAACCAUAUUGUCGGACCAGUAAAAAGAAAAUAAUGUUUAUGAUAACUGUUAAAACUAAUCACAACAAGUUAAUGCAUAAAGAACUUACGGAGGGUGCUAUGAGGCCACCGAAAAGGAUAAACCCCGCAAUAAUUGAAUAACAAACAGCAUAAUAUUGCUUAAGGUUGUCUGAACUCUGCAAGCAAUGAAUUCACCUUGUGAUUAAUACUUUGCACAAACACUAGUUUUCGCAAUUUUUUAUGAAUCGACAAAAGGCUACAACAAAAUAUGGCUAAAACAUGUGAAAAUACAUGUCUUCACAGGGGCACCAGCUUACCAGGGGAGGCAAAAAUGGAAUGAACGAUGGAAAACUAGGAAGUUCGUUUUCUUGAUCUUCAUUUACCGCUCCAAGCUCUGCACGUUUAAUCCGCUGUUGUAUCCUCAGCCCGCGAACCUACGCAUAUCGAAGCUCAUUCUUAAAGAACACAUUUCUAAUGGCAAUUGGAGAGUAAUUUAAAACAUGCUAAACUGAGAAAGUGGUAGCAACAAGCAAUUGCUCUCACUUCCUCCAUAUGCAAGAAAAUUUUGUUGCGACGACUCCGAAUAUUAUCUUGAAUUUCCUGCAGCUCCAUUGUCGCAAAGUCCUGCACUGUUUCAGGCCCCUCUAUGAUACAAAAUCUGCACAAUUAAGCAUGUAAAAACUAAAAAUUACAGGCUAUAAAACAAUUUCCGUAUCAUUUUUGGGAGCUCUCUCUCUCUCUCAAACCAGAAGGCAGAGCUUUCUGUUUCUCUUGAGGUUUCUUUCACUGGUAAAUUCCAGAGAAGCAGAGAAGAAGGCUCUCUGAGAAAUGGCGAUGGUGCAAGUGGAGACAAAACAAAUGUAUAUCUUGAAGCACCGAAAUUGUGCAGAACACUUGUCAACUACCGAACUCUAGGAUUAGGAGAGAGAGAGAGAGAGAGAGUGAGUGACCGGCAAAAAAAAAAAUGAGGGAAGAAUCACCCACAUUUAAAAAUGAUUUUUAGGGGACCUGGUGUCGUUGGAUUCGAGUAGUUGUUCGGUAUGUCACAUUUAAAAUUUUAUUAUCUGAUGAUAAACGUCGAAACAUAAAGAUAGGUCAUCUCUAACCGAAUGAGGACUAAAAAGUCAUGUUUAGUACUAUAAUCCUGCAAUGAAUUAUAUUUUAAUAAAUAAUAUCAGGUUAUAUUUUAUACCAUAUCUAACCGAGUGGGUCAAAUGAUCAUAUGCCAAACAUAGCCUUUUGACAAAAAACUCAUCUCCAACCGAGGGGGCUAAAUGGUCAUAGACCAAACAUAAUUGCUCAAUAAUUUAUUAUUCUAAUUGAAUUAAUAUGAUUAAUUAAAUUAAAUUACCAUAUUAAAAUAAGAUUUCAUGAUAUAUUUUGAGUGCCACUUGCCACAAUACCGAAGAAAGCAUGGUAUUAUUGCACCUGCCACAAAGUCAAGCUUGACAUUCUGCUGCUGGAGGGCUGGCUGGCUAGCUGAAAAUGGCCAGCCUGCUGGCCUGAUUUGGGAGGUUUUGGCCCAAUGGGGCCCCAAGCCCUUUGGCCUAGCCUUCGGUUGGAAACGGUUUUCGUGUUAUUCUGAGUUAUUUUUAACCCUAUGAUCCUUUGGCCGGAUCGAUUGGAGAUGACCUUAGGUGUGUUGAUUGUCUUUGAGACAUCGGAGGUUCUGUGUGAUUGAAUACUUCACCCUCCUCCAAAGGCGCCACUCUUGAGAAGGUUACUUGCCUCAUGCAAACAUUGUGAAUUGCAAGUGAUGAAUUGUUCUGAUGAUGAGGUUUAUUUUUUAACUCAUUAUGUUUCAAGUUUAAACAUUUUUCCCUCUCUUAGUGUAAAAUAUUGUUUGUGAUAAAAAAACUUAAAAUGAGACACUCUCCUUCAUAUAUAAGAUGAUCAAGUGUGAGAUUAAUACUUUUAAUGAGUGACUCAAUUAACCAUUUUCAUUUCUUACGCGUUCAAAAUUAGACAAAUUCUUUGCAUACAUUUAAAAAAAAAAGAUAUUAAGGAGAGUAUAAAAUUAUUACAUUACGAAGAGAGAGUUUCGAACUCGGGACGUAUGAGUAGAACCCUAACGCCUCUCCACUAGGAUAUUAGACCAAUACUGGUCUUGAAUUUUUUUGGUGCCCGGAGCGAAUGCUCAAAACGUGUCUUUUUCCAGUACAACAUAAAUUAAAAAGAAAUAUUUAUAGAGGGCUAGAACCCAAUCGAAGCUGGGGGACUAGGCCCUUACGCCUAUAUUAUAUUACUUACCUAAUACAAACAUUUCUGAUAGAUUUCAGAGGCUCUAAAUGGUCAAACACUUCGUCCUUCCCAAAACCGUUACUGUUGAGAGGGUUCCUUACCUAAUACAAACAUUUUACGUUUACUUAGAACUAGAAAAAUAAGAAUUGCAGGUGAUGAAUUGCUCUAAUGAUGAUGUUUAUUUUUUAACUUAUUGUGUUUUAAGUUUAAAUAAUUCUGUUUCUUUGAUAUAUAUAUUAGUGUAAAAUCAUUCGUAAUAAUAAAAAAAAAGAAUAAAAAUGAUACUCUCAUUUAUAUACAAGUUGAUCAAGUGUGAGAUUAAUAAUUUUAAUGAGUGAAUUAACUAUUUUCAUUUCUUACGAGUUCAAAAUUACACAAAUUCUUUGCAUACAUUUUUUUUUUAAAUAGAAAAUUUCUAUUAUUAAGGAGAGAGUCCUAAACUAUUAGGUUAUGGAAUGUGAGUAGAAACCUAACGCCUAUCCACUAGGAUAUUAGACCACCAGAGCUGAUCCUGAGAUUUUUGGUGCCUGCGUCAAAAUAUGUCCUUUUCCAGUACAACAAUAUAAAUUAAAAAGAAAUAUUUAAAGAGGGCUGGAACCCAGUCGAAGCUGGGAGGCUAGGCCCUCACGCCCAUAUUCUAUUACUUGAAGAAACAAUAUACAACGGGGGGAAUCAUAGUACCGAAACCCCAACAAUAAAAAACAAAGUCACAUGCAACCACUCCAAGCAGUCAACUUGGCCAUUACAUAUUGAAUCCAAAAGGUUGACGGCCUAUUCUCUGCAUACAAUGCACAGAAGAUAACAAGAUUACUAAUAUAAAAAGAACAUCUGAAAAGAUGAACAUAUGCAUCAACAAAUAAGCAGGGGCGGAUCCACAGUGGGGUCGUCGGGGUCAAACGACCCCUUGGAAACCAUGGAAACAACCUUGAAGCUCCCAUAUGCGACCUCUUGGAGCUGGGGUUGUCGGGGUUGUCAGGAAGAGGAAGAAGAAGACUCGGCAGGAAGAGGAAGAAGAAGCAGCUCGCGCGACGUGUAGGUUCUGUGUAGAGUUUCUGACCUUUAAUUCCCACUUCACAAAGACGAGAGAAAGAGAGAGAGGGAAGGAAAGUCCUCGGGGUGGUGGUGAUGUAGACCUUCGUCGGGGUAGUGGUGUGGGUGUGCGUGGGUGUGGAUUCGAUCGGAGAGAGUGAGAGGGUUAAAGAGUGAAAAAGAGAGAGAGAGAGAGAGAGAGAGAGAGAGAGAGAGAGAGAGAGAGAGAGAGAGAGAGAGAGAGAGAGAGAGAGAGAGGAGAGUUCGGGGAGAUGAGAAGGAGGACAAUGGGGACUUGCCCCGUGGCAAGUUGUGAUAGGUAGGAAAUCCCAAAAAGGGAUCCGGAUAGGGUAAGUAAGUGGGGACCAAAUUGUAAACUUCAUUUAACUGUAGGGAAAUUGUGAAAUUACAAGGAAAUCUUUGGGGAGGGGUUUUACAGAAACCCUUCUCAACACUUAAAAGCAAACUGCGUGCUUUUAAUCAGGUUUGGCUCUAUAAUUGAACUUGUAACCAUGCCUUUCCCUAUGACGGAAUUGUGAUAUGCUUUGCCAGAUAUUCACAAGGAAUUCAUUUUUCUUUUUCCAAUUGCAAAAUAUUAGUGAACAAGUUGUUUCUUCUAUGAGAGAUCCAAGCAUAAUGGUUGGGUAGAUGCAGAUGAGAAAAUCAGCAGUUGCUGUAUUUGGCACAGUAAGAUAUUAACUCUUACAUCUAAAUUGAAAAACAUGAAAAUUUCCUAGUUCUCAAGGUCUCACGUGCAUGCUCAGAUACAUUUGUGCUUCAUAUUUGUGUGUUUGAUUCCGAGAAGGCUGACAAGUUGAAGCAAUCUCUUCCUCCAUGUUUGAACAUUCAGGACCUUUGAACAAGGAUUUUGGAGUAGCUGGUUGCGCUAUCCUACCAAGACCCGAUGAAAUGACGAUAUGCAUGCCGUUUCUGUUAAAAAAAAAUAUCCUUAUUGACCCCCCAAACAUUAUUUCCUGGAUCCGCCACUGCAAAUAAGUAAACCAUUCUAAGUGCAAUUUUAGAAGUGAUACGCUCCAAGUGUGAUAUUGGACAGAAGAGCGGCAGCUUCAACCAGUUCUGCUAUAUCCGGCUGGAUGAGAGCUGCUAAAGACAUGAUUGUUCCCUAAUAACAUGAAUAAAUUGAGUAAACACCAAAAGUAGCGCAGCAAGGGAAGGAGAUUUGAAGUAGAUGAAGAGGUGUAAUACCCGUAUAUGCAGCGCAUCAUUUCUGAUAGAUCAAAUCGAGCCAAUUCCUGCCAACUCCAAUGCCGAUAAUCCUACAGUAAAGCAUAAAUCUUAUUCUCUUCUGAUAAAGAUGUGUGUCCCUGACUCCAACGUGUUUGACGCACAUUCCCUACCCAUACAUUGAAACCUUCAUCUGCAAGGACGAAUCCCAGUUAUUCUUCUGGAGAAUUUAAGAACCAUGAAUCACCUGGUCAAGAAAAGCCAGUAACCAAUUACAAUUGAGUUUGAAGCACAUAAGAGCCUAAUUUAAAAUGUAUCCCAUGGAUGUUCAUCAAUUUACACAAUAGUUAGUUUCAAGAAAGGAAAUUUCAACAGAACCUGAAAACUUCAGAUCAGGGGGCACCAAAUAGUGAGCUAUACAUUCAAAAUUUGAAAUAAUCAACUUAGUGGGACCAAUAUGUUGAAAAAAUUGGAAGGAGCUAUGAAAGUAAGGCUUUUCACUAAUCAGACGUCCAGAGAAUCAAUAUUUUACUCACGGAUCAGUUACGGGGAACACUCCCCACCAAAGCAAACUCUUUCGUCUGAAUCUGGAAAACAAGCAGCAGUGGAUUUUAACAGUCUGGGUAUCUCAAAGUUACUUUAAUCACAAAUUUAACAAUUAAACAUAUAAAUGGGCAUUAUUUAGUGAAAUAUUAGUAUAGUACUCACUGUGUGCUCGGAACAAGAGUACCCAGAAAGCUCAAUGAGCUGCGCACAGAGGACUACAGCGGUGAACGACAGCGACCGAUUCUGUAAAAUUCAGUCGAGUUUUGGGUGAUUUCGGAGGUCAAGAGGCUGAUAAGGAAAGCUGCGACCGAAGGGCACUGGUCUGGAAGAAAAGGCUCAGGUCACUGCUGUCCCAAUUCGCGAAGGAAGUGCCCCCAAAACAAUUUCGGCCCUGGACAGGUGCACUGUUUGCACUGGACCAGGGCCGGCCGGCCCAGGCGAUAACGUCCCCCAAACAGUACAUAUACAGAUGCUAGAAAUAUAUUAAUGUAACCUGAAACUACUAGAACCAUUCAAUUCUAGCGUCUACAGCUUUAGCAUUAGUUGGUACAUGGGACAUUCUUCCAAAGAGGGAGAUGAGCUCGUUGAGGCUCUUAUUUAUUCCCCCUCUUGAUGUGCCCUUCUAGGCUGCUAAUUCCAGACGAUCCAAUCUCAUACAUCUUCCCUGCAAAAGCAUGUGUGCCAGACUUCAAGAUCAAAUUUUUCCAACAAAAGAAACUUAAAGAUCAAACUCGCCAGCGGAAUAAAUGAUGCACAAGGGUGUUAAAAUCUUGACAUAUGUAUAUUUUUGGCAGAUUUUAUGUGAGCAUGCUACUAAAACUGGCAUCACUAAAGAUUGGUGGAAAACUUUAACAGUUUGAGUUGUAACUUCUCCAUUGUAUUUGUUAAGGCAAGAUGGAUGACAUCUAUGCAAUUUUCAGUAGAACUUAAAAGGCUGCAUAGCAGCUCUUGUUCGUUGUAUUGAAUACCGUGGUUUUACUGAUGAAUGCAGAGUUUGUUGAUGAUUCAUACGACAAGCAAUUGAAAAUCCCAUCAUUAUGCCCCACAUAUACCAAAAAAAAAAAGUCAUUUACACAAAUUCAGAGCGUUCAUCCACUGUAAUUUGCAGAUAUAGAAACGUUAAGAUAAAAGGAAAUGCAAAGUACCUUUCACCCAAAUUGGAGGAGCACCGGUGGCAUUAGCAAGUUAGCAACGGGAAUUGACAUACCAAUAUCUUCACAGUUUCUGCACAAGCACAAAUCAAAAGAACCCGGCGGUGGAGUUAUGUACCUCUCCUUGGAAAAUGCCACCUCUUGGGAUUUCAAAAUAUGCAGCCAUGGCUAGCCGUCUGACCACGCCAAUUCCACCAAAGCCACCGCAACGCGGCGUAGUGUCCGAUUGAUUGCUUCAAAACAGAGCUUCGUAUCCAUGUGUUUAUCAGCAGAGAGUACCCAAAACCACUGAAAAUUAUUUCUUUAUUCAGAUAAUAAAAUUUCCCAAAUUUGGAAAUUUAAUUCCGAAUCAAAAGUAGGGUUUGAAUUUUGAUUACCUAGAAAUUGGGGGGUUGGGGUGGAGAGGGACCCGUGCCACGACGGAUCUCUGUGUCUGUUUUAACUCAUGCCAAAUUAUAGAGAGUGUCAGGAAGACUUAAAUACUGAAGCCCCGUAAGCCGUUCAAUCCAGGGGGGAAGCUCUUUGAUAGAUGUUUUAUCCAAGAUAAGAUAUCUUAAUCCUUCCAUAUUUUCUUCAAUGCUUGGAAACACCUCAAAUUUUGUACAACCGGAAACAGAGAGACGGACAAGGGACUUGAGCUGACAAAUGCUGCUUGGAAGGCUCUUUAGUUCCUCGCAGUCGUUUAGCUUCAAAUAAGUCAAUCCCGUGAGAUUAUUAAUCGACCAUGGUAGUUCUUUAAUUUUUGAUCCGGAUAAAUUAAGAAAUUCUAACCCUUCAAUCACUUCUGUAAUCUCUGGAAACAUCUCAAGGCUCGAGCAACCAUAAAGAUCAAAGCUUUUGAGUGAUUUCAUACGAAUGCUGCUGGGAAGACUCUUAAGUUUCUUGCAGUAUAGUAGAUUCAAAUGACUCAACCCCGUAAGAUUAUUAAUUGAUGGGGGCAGUUCUUUAAUUUUUGAGCAGCGUAAAUCAAGCUUUUCUAACCCCUCAAUACCUUUUGACAUCGAUGGAAACAUCUCAAGACUGGAGCAGCCAUGAAGGUUCAAGGUUUUGAGACAUUUCAUACGAAUGCAGCCUGGAAGACUCUUAAGUUCCUUGCAAUCUUUUAGGUUGAAAUGACACAACCCCGUGAGAUUAUUAAUUGACAUGGGCAGUUCUUUAAUUUUUGACUCGGAUAAAUUAAGCUCUUCUAACUCCUCCAUACAUUUUGAAAUCUCUGGAAACAUCACAAGAUUGGAGCAGCCAUAAAGAUUAAAGGUUUUGAGAGAUCUCAUACGAAUUUUGCUGGGUAGACUCUCAAGUUCCUUGGAAAAUUCUAAGUUUAAAUGACUCAAUCCCGUGAGAUUAUUAAUUGACUCGGGCAGUACUUUAAUUUUUGACGCGGUUAAAUUAAGCUCUUCUAACUCCUCCAUACCUUCUGAAAUCUCUGGAAACAUCUCAAGAUUGGUGCAACCUCUUAGAUUAAAGGUUUUGAGAGAUUGCAUGCCAAUGUUGUUGGGUAGAAUCUUAAGUUCAUUGCACCAAUUCAGAUCUAAUAAAACAAGCUUUGUAAGAGUCAAAAUCGACCCGUGAACCUCAACUAAGCGUGUACAACUUUGAACAAUUAGCCUCUCAAGAUUUGGCACAUUUGUGAAGUCAGGGGUUAUCUCAAGGUUUUGACAAUGACUUAAAUUGAUGAAUUUCAACUUUUCCUGCGUCUGUUAAAACAUUCAGGAAAACAUGCAUUACUUAAUAAGACAUCUUACUCAAAGCCCAAACAUUUAAAAGAAACAAAUACAAGUAAAUGAUUGUACAUACCUGGGUUCCUUCCCAAAGUCGGUUAAUGAGACUACAUCGCAUGUCAAGUUCAACAAGAUUUUUGAAUUGAAAGUUGGAUGGCAAAGACUUGAGAGGGAAUUGAAACCAGGAGAGAUACCUCAAGUUAGGUAACUUAAAACGGAGCCCACUCAGGUGGUGUUUCCAGUAAUCACGUUUAAAAACGGAGCCCUCACUACUGAUCUUGAGAAGUCUUAGUUGAGUCAUACUAGCAAAAGCUUUAGCAUUUAAGCAUACCCGGUCUGAGUACGAGAAAUCCACGAUUAUGCUUUCAACUGUUUUCGUAGCCUGUGCAAAUCAAAGUAUUAGAAAAUACAAAGAACCUUAGUUUAGAUUAUGAAAUUAAUGCUUGUUUCUUAGGGAGCUGUUUGAUAAUCAUUUCGUUUUUAGUUUAAUUUUUUUUUCAAUUUUCAAUUAUUCAAACAAUGAAAACUAAAAAUUAAAAAUUGAAAACAAAAAUGGUUAUCAAAUGGCCUAAGAAAUUGAUUUUGGUCAAAAGUUGAAGCUUUCUACUAACAAUUGCAUAAGAAAAAGACUUCUCACCGUAUUUUGAGUUAGCAUUUGAUUAACAUCUUCAUAACUCCACAACCUACUUCGUUUCCCAGGCUCUUUGAUAGAUUCUUGACGGACGAUUUCCCGACCCAUUUCCUCUAAUGAAUCAUGCUUCUCCAGUUCCCCCUCCCCUGAGACAGUUAUGAGAGCAUGAUCGAUUAGAACUCUUAUUCCUAUAUGAGGAUGGAAACCACAAUCGUCCAUAAUUCGGGUUGCACAGUCUUUCUUCAUCCCUUUAAAGAAACAUGCAAUAUCUAGAAAGAUGUCUUUCACUGUGUCAUCUAGUCCAUCGAAGCUUGAUUUAAGCACAUCAUGAAUUCCCCUUUGCGGGAUUUUCCUUAUUUUUUCUAACUCAUCUUCCCACUCACGGAUAGUUUUUUUAAGAAGAAAAGCUCCCAAAACUUUGAGUGCUAAGGGCAGACCUUGAGCAUAUUUUACGACACGCUUAGAGAGAUCAUCAUAAUCUCUGGUGGGUUGGUUUUUUCGGAAGGCGUGCUGCCUAAAGAGUUUCAGAGCUCCAGAAUCACUCAAAGUCUUGGGAUUAUAUAUCACAUCAACUAUGCUUAGUAACUGUGAAUCUCUACUUGUUAUAAUAAUCCUACUUCCACCACCAAAGGAAUGUGGCUCUCCAAGUAAAGCAUCAAUUUGUUCUGAUUUGUCCACAUCAUCAACAACAAUAAGAACUUCUCUGACCAAGGCUUUUUAACAUCACCUGAAAACCUUUGUUCGAUAUGUCAGAGCUCCCCACCUUGUUGUCCGAGAUACUAGAUAGAAGUUGUGUCUGCAUAUGUAGUUCGCCGUGCUUCAUGAAACCCUCCUUGACAUUUUUAAGAAAGCAACAAGUUUCAAAUCGACUAGCGAUUUCAUCAUAAACAGCUCUAGCGAUGGUUGUUUUGCCUAAACCACCCAUACCCCAUAUUCCAACAACGCGAACAUUAUUCGUUUCAACUCCAGGAGGAUGUAAUAAUAAAUGCAUUUCAUGCAUAUGAGAAUCCAUGUCAACCAAGCCAUUCUCUUUCCUUGAUGAUGAUGAGAUGUCAAUCAAUUUCCGAUAAACAUAUUCUACAAUUUCCUCUACGAGCACCGCAUCACUCCUGUCAAAUUAAAAAAAAAAAAUAUAAUAACAACAAAAAAUAAUAAUUAAUAGGUCUUUUUCAUCUGUUAGUUUUAAAAAAACUAGAAAUUAAAACCAAAAUCUUGUUGUGGUCUAUUUUAUCUGACAGAGGGACUAGGGCCGGCGGCAGAGAGAGAGAGGAGAGAGAGGUGUGUUUGUAGAAUUGUAGGGGAAUGUGUGUGUUGUUAUCCCUCCUACAUUGUGCCUUUAUUUAUAGUAGUAAAGGGAGAGAAGAUAUUCCUUCUUCUCCAAGUAAUACAAGUUGUAAUAGGAAAGGAUAACUAGAAUCAAAUCUUAUCUAGGAUUUACACAAUCAUACUUAAACUAGGAAUGUUUACAACACUCCCCCUUGAGUGGGUAAAUACUCAAGGUAGAUUCAGCAUCAUGCAGAAGUUGAGGAAGUCGACUCGUCGGCAUUGAUUCCAAGGAACAACGCUUAUUCUCAAUAAGGUAGGAACUUGCAUAAGUAGUAAGUCUCACUAAAAAACCCUAAGGCUAUGGCAAAAACCCAAGUAGGGACAAAAUCCAUAGUCUAAGGAAAAAUGCGUGAGGAAUGCAAAGUCAAAAGAAACGUCUACAGGACAUCAUCAGGGAUAUGACCAGCCCAAGGUGGGUGCCUCGUUAAAACCUAGUUAGGUAGCAAAAACCCAGUGGGAAAAAUGCUCCUAAUCGUAGGGAAAAAGAGUACAUUAAGAUCAAGCAAGUAUCCAGAAGAAACUCCCCCUGAGUUUGACAUAAUUCCAAAGAGAAAUAGCAAAGUUACAACUCAGAAAGUUUUUACGCAUACCAAUUCCAUGAACAAGCUUCUAAAAACGUCGCCUUCGGUAGUGAUUUGGUGAAGAGGUCGGCCAGAUUGUCUUGUGAUCGGAUUUGCGUGACUUCAAUCUUCUGAUGCUCUUGUUGUUGAUGUGUAAAGAAGAACUUCGGCGCAAUAUGCUUGGUGUUGUCUCCUUUGAUGUAACCCUUCUUGAGCUGUUCGAUGCAAGCUGCGUUGUCUUCAAAAAUCGUCGUCGGGGCAUUAACGGCGGGAUGAAGAUCACAGGAGCUUCGAAUAUGGCCCACUACUGCUCUCAACCAAAAGCAUUCCCGAGUUGCUUCAUGUAAGGCGAGAAUUUCAGCAUGGUUAGACGAAGUGGCAACUAAGGUCUGUUUAGUUGACCUCCAAGAUAUUGCGGUGCCUCCAACGGUAAAGACAUAACCCGUUUGAAGAACGCGCCUUGUGCGGAUCAGAUAAGUAUCCAGUGUCGGCAUAACCAACAAGGCGAGAAUCAACCCGAUGAGCAUAGGGUGCGGCAUCACUCGAGGAUUCGUAGGGAUAAGAUAAAGCCCAAAUCCGUAGUACCCUUAAGGUAACGGAAGAUGUCUUUCACGCCAGUCCAAUGUCUGCGUGUUGGUGCAUUGCUGUAUCUUGCCAAAAGAUUAACAGCGAAGGAGAUGUCGGGUCUAGUGCAUUGAGCUAAGUACAAUAAAGCGCCUAUCGCACUUAGAUAAGGAACUUCAGGCUCCAAAAUCUCUUCAUCAUCCUCCUUCGGACGGAAGGGAUCUCGCUUUGCAUCUAGCGUACGAACGACCAUAGGAGUACUCGAAGGCUUCGCUUUAUCCUCAUUAAAACGGCGCAACACCUUCUGGGUGUAGUUCGAUUGAAGUACUAGGAUUCCAUCCGAACAAUGCUCUAUCUCGAGGCCGAGACAGUAUCGAGUCUUACCUAGAUCUUUCAUCUCAAAUUCCGACUUCAGGUGCGAAGCAGUUCUCGCGAGCUCUUCAGGAGUUCCGAUGAGAUUCAUGUCAUCGACAUAUACUGCAACAAUCGCAAAUCCGGAAUGUGACUUCUUAAUGAACACACAAGGGCAUAGUUCGUUAUUCACAUAUCCCUGACUAGUCAAAUACUCACUUAAACGGUUAUACCACAUUCUUCCGGAUUGUUUCAAACCGUAUAGUGAACGCCUCAGCCGAAUUGAGAGCGUGUUCCGAGGUUUGGAAAUAUUUGAACCAGUCAAUGUAAGUCCUUCGGGAACUUUCAUAUAAAUUUCCGUAUCAAGAUCCCCAUAGAGAUACGCGGUUACUACGUCCAUCAGCUGCAUAUCCAGUUUUUCGGAAACUACCAAACUGAUAAGGUAUCGAAAAGUAAUCACAUCCAUAACGGGUGAGUAAGUUUCGUCAUAGUCAAUCCCGGGGCGUUGUGAGAAACCUUGUGCUACAAGACGAGCUUUGUAACGCACAAUUUCGUUCUUCUCAUUACGCUUCCGAACGAAAACCCACUUGUAGCCAACGGGCUUCACAUGUGGAGGAGUAGGAACUACAGGUCCAAACACCUUACGUUUCGCAAGUGAAUCAAGUUCGACUUGGAUUGCUUGUUUCCAGUUUGACCAAUCAGCUCUACGUCGACAUUCAUCAACGGAACGCGGUUCAAUGUCAUCGCUCAACAUGAUCUCAGUAGCUACUGCAAAUGCUAAUGCAUCGUCGACAAUCAUCUCAUUUCUACGCCACACAUCAUCUAAGCUAGCAUAAUAGACCGAAAUCUCACGAUUCUCGGGAGGAGGAUUCGUCUCUUCAAGGACGCUUCCAUAAUCUAGAAUUUCCUCAUGAGUUGGGUAAAAUGAGUAAGCGAUAGUCGGAUUCACGGUAGGCUCUUCAGGACCUUGUGCCGUGGUUUUCCUCUUCCGGGGGUGUGAAUCCUUUGAACCAAGGGGUCUGCCACGCUUUUGUGUAGGGGCAGAUGAUUGGCUAGCCGCUAAUGUACGUGGAUCACCAGAAUUGGCGUCCCGGGCUUCCAGGAGGGUAGUCCGUCGUACAUUUGGUACAUCCAUCUUUGCAGGCGUUUUCGCAGCUGGAAUAUGUGAUCUUGUCACGCGCGCUAGAUCGGUGAAAGCAUCUGGCAUGCUCUGAGCUAUGCUCUGGAGAUCUAAUAUGCGCUGCACUUCAGCUUCAGACUGAGCGGUGCGGGGAUCUAAAUGAGACAAAGUGGGAGUCAUCCACGAUAAUUCGCGUCGUUCAUUAGGAACGUUGACGUUCUUAUCUCCCCCUAACGACGGGAAGACUGUCUCAUAGAAGUGACAAUCCGCGAAACGAGCGGUAAACAGAUCGCCUGUCAAAGGUUCUAAGUAACGAAUAAUCGAAGGAGAAUCAUAUCCGACAUAGAUUCCCAUCCUUCGCUGAGGCCCCAUUUUUGUACAUAAGGGCGGCGAGAUCGGCACAUAGACCGCACAACCAAAAACGCGCAGAUGAGAUAUGUCGGGUUCGCAUCCGGUGACCAACUGAAGGGCACUAAAUGGUUGUGUCGCAACAGGCCUCAGGCGGACCAACUUUGCUGCGUGCAAUAUUGCAUGGCCCCAAGCAGCGAUCGGGAGCUUGGUACGUAUGACCAACGAUCGAGCAAUCAUUUGUAAACGCUUAAUGAAAGCCUCUGCCAGGCCGUUCUGGGUGUGAACAUGGGGUACAGGAUGUUCAACUUCAACCCCAACCGACAUGCAAUAGUCAUCAAAAGUUUUAGAUGUGAAUUCUCCAGCAUUAUCCAAUCGAAUAGAUUUGAUCGGAUAAUCAGGGUGGUGAGCCCUGAGCUUGAUAACCUGAGCCAACAGUUUGGAGAAUGCAGCGUUCCUUGUGGACAACAAGCACACGUGUGACCAACGUGUAGAAGCGUCAACCAAAACCAUAAAAUAUCUAAAUGGUCCGCAGGGAGGUUGAAUCGGUCUACAAAUGUCCCCCUGAAUCCGUUGUAGAAAAAUGGGAGGAUUCGAACGAAUCUUGUCAUAAGAAGGCUUAGUAAUAAGCUUUCCCAUAGAACAUGUUUGACAUGCAAUUUCAUGGAUCGAACCUAAGCUUCGGGUUAGUGGAUGCCCGUGUGAAGUUUUGAGGAUACGGCGCAUCGCUAUUCGUCCAGGAUGUCCCAAACGAUCAUGCCAAAGUGUAAUUUCGUGCGCGGUCCCUGUGGUAGGGCCGGCCACAUAGUGGCAUUCUAUGGGGCGUAUGGUCGUAGUAUAUAGACCACUCGGGUUACGCGCCAUCUUCUCUAGAAUACGCUUCUGGCCAUAUUCGUAGGAAGUUACGCACAGAAAUUUAACUCCGUUUUCUACGUGGGUUUCAGCGUGGUAAUUGUUAUCUCUAAUGUCCUUGAAACUUAGUAACGUUCUUCCGGAACGUGGAGAAUAGAGUGCCUCAGCAAUGGUCAAGAUUGUACCAUUGGACAACAUUAUACGUGCCUUACCGUAUCCUUCGAUCAGGUUGGAUGGGCCUGAGGGGGUUGUCAGAGGUGCAUUCUUAGGUACGAAGUUAGUGAAAUAGAUGCGUUCACGCAAAACAGUAUGCGUGGUUGCACUAUCUGCCAGACAACUAACUUUCCCACUAUUCAUACCUAGAAUUAAUUUGAAUUGGUCACAUGCAUAAAAGUUUAUAAAACAAGUAUCAAUUCAAAAUAAUUUCAUUUAUUCAAGGAAAAAACUUAAUAUCCAAAAUAAAUCGCCAACUAAUAAUCCAAAACAUAAAGGAAAAUUGUUCAAAAUCAACCAAAAACAAGGUGGGGUUCGGCCACUAGGUGGAAUUCGGCCCCAAUUGUCUUAUUUUAACUGAAAAAUAAGUCUAUGUCUAAGAUUCUAAUCUUCCAUAGGAGUGGUAUCCUCCUGAAAAUCAGAAACCUCCAUCUUUGUAAUCUCCGGUUCGUCCACUUGCAGGAAGUUUGAUUCAAACUUCGUACAACGAGAAUGAUAUGCAUCCACAACCUUCUUGGGAGUACGGCAAAUACGGGACCAAUGGUCCUUGGAACCACAACGAUAGCACAUAUCGUCAUUCAUUGUGGCAGGUGCUUUGCCCUUAUUCUUGAAGUUCGGGGCCUUGGGAGUGAGGUUUGGGCGCUUCUGGGCUUUGUUUCCUCCCUUGGAUGGGCCUUGGCUCUGUUGACCUUGGUGGGAUGGCUUCUGGCCGCCCUUACCACGCCUCUUUUGGCGUUUUGGGUGCUGAUUAGUGCUAUAAUGUGCUUCAGGCACAGCAGUAGCCCCAGUAGGUCGAGCUUGAUGAUUUUUCAUCAACAGCUGGUUCUGCUUUUCAGCAAGAAGUAAAACAGAGAUCAAAUCAGAGAACUUAGUGAACUUCUGAGCUCUAUAUUGUUGCUGCAGGACAAUAUUAGAAGCAGAGAAGGUCGAGUAGGUCUUCUCCAGGAGAUCCUCUUCAGUCAAAGUUUCAUUGCAAAACUUGAGAAGUGAUCGGAUUCGACAAACUUCAGAAUUAUAUUCAUUCACAGACUUAAAGUCUUGGAAGCGCAAGUGCUGCCAGUCGUGUCUUGCUUCAGGCAAGAAUAUGUCCUUUUGGUGAUUGAAACGAUCAGCCAAAGCGACCCAUAAUGCACGUGGAUCCUCCUCAGCAAGGUACUCAGUUUGUAGAGCGUCAUGGAUAUGUCUUCGGAUGAAGAUCAUAGCAGUGGCUUUUUCAGCCUCGCCAACAGGUUUAUCUGUUACUUCUUCAAUAGCAGGACGCAAGUUCUUUGCAGUGAGGUGGAGCUUCACAUCUUGAACCCACUUGAGGUAGUUCCUUCCAGAAACCUCCAAAGCGGUGAAGUCGAGUUUGUUCAAAUUCGACAUGUUCCUAUCACAAAAUGGAUGAACAAGAUGUGGUUAGUGUAAUGGAGAAAAAUCAAUCCAUUCACAUAGGAGUAGAACAUACAGGUUCUAAUAGACAUGUAUUGGUUUAAUUUUGCAUGAAAAACUUCGGGUUUUCAUGGGUGAUAUAUUUAAGUGAAAACUUCGGGUUUUCAAACAAGGCAUGUGUAUAAGAAACUUUGGGUUUCAAAGUAAUUAUGAACUUCAGGUUCAUAUAUUCCUGCAGGCAAACACAAAUAUAUAUGCAAACAAAUAUGCAAAGAAUAUAUGUAGAAAUAUUGUAUAAUGAUAAGUGAAUUAAUUUAUUUUUGGUCUUCGGGGCCAAAUUAAAGUGUGGGUGAAAAUAUAAAAACCCAUAUUAUUUAAAAAAAAUUAAAUAAUAAAAUCUCGGGGCCUAAAAAUAUAGGCCAAGAACCCUCGGGUGGGAUUACAGGCCCACGGGGUGAGAAAAGGGGAAUGGGCUGCUGUGUGCAGCCCUAAAAUUUUUUUUUUCUCGGGCCGUUCCAGGCGAGCCCAUAAUUUUUUUUUUCUUUUCGGGCCGUUCCAGGCGAGCCCAGAAACUUUUUUUUUUUUUUUUUAAUUUAGAUGCAUAUAUAAUUCAAUGAAUCACAUAUUUACUUUGAUGCAUAUGCAAAUAAUAGUUUCAAUGCAUGUACAUAUGUAAGAUUCAAUUCAUGGCAAAUAUCAAAUUCACAUAAUUGUAGCAAUUUUGAUUAUGAAGCAUACACAAUUUAUGUAGAAUCUAAAAUACGUAAAACGUAAAGUUGGGUCAUGCAUCAUGGUGAAUGUUCAUGCUAUCAGGGCUUGCAAAAUAUCGAGUUAAAAGCCGUUGUUUGGAAAGAACCUGAUUGCGUGAUGAUAUGGAUGAACUGGUUUGAUGCAGAAAAAAUCUCCAACGUCAGAUUCCUAAGCGCAACGGUAGGAGCGUGCUGAUAACGUGUUGUGGUCUAUUUUAUCUGACAGAGGGACUAGGGCCGGCGGCAGAGAGAGAGAGGAGAGAGAGGUGUGUUUGUAGAAUUGUAGGGGAAUGUGUGUGUUGUUAUCCCUCCUACAUUGUGCCUUUAUUUAUAGUAGUAAAGGGAGAGAAGAUAUUCCUUCUUCUCCAAGUAAUACAAGUUGUAAUAGGAAAGGAUAACUAGAAUCAAAUCUUAUCUAGGAUUUACACAAUCAUACUUAAACUAGGAAUGUUUACAACAAAUCUAAAUAUUUGUCAAAUUAUCUAAAUAUAUAAAGAGAGAGCCCCAGUUUGGUGAAGCAUUCCAAAAUGCCAAGAAUAUCCCUAUGUUUCCUUCACAAUCAAAAUCCAAAAAAUCCAAAAAAAAGGAGGACAAACUGGUAAAAAACUUAUAACCGAACAUAAAAUUGUAUUGAAAGAAAAAACUAAAUUUUUACUAAAAAUUGAGAGCAAGAAAUACAAAAAAAAAAAACAAAAAAAAGGGAAAUUAAACCGAAUACUGGUAGAACAAGUCCACGUAAUUGAUAAUUGACGAAUGCAAUGUUGGUAACUGGUCUUGAUUUAAAAUAAAAAGUUGAAAACACAAAGAGACAGAUGCAGUAAAAAACACCAAUAAAAAACAAAAUAAAAAAAAAAAUAUUGGAAACUGAGGAAAGAAACGUGGGAGAGAGACUGCUGUUUUCAAACUGCAUUAAGUUUAAAGGCUCUCAUGUUAUUGCUAAUGGAAUAAAACAAAAAAGAAAAUAAAAAGAGACCUAAUACGUUUAGAAUAGAACUGCUAUUCGACAGUUGCAGGCUUGAAGUGUGUGAAGGAAACAGUUUUGAAGAACGAUAAACUCGAACGUUCAUGAAAAUAAAAGCGAACGUGGGAGAGGAACCAGUUUUGCGGGACAUGUAAAUAAAACACAAAAUAAAAUAACCUCAAGAGAAUAAAUUGAAAUUGUUGUGCCAGAGCCUGAAGGAGAAGAUCAAAUUGGCGAAAACCAACAAGAACUGGUAGUUCUGUAGUUCUCAAUUAUUAAAUUUGUGUGUUUUGUUCUCUAUCAAAAUGCUUCUUAUUCCUUAAUCUUCUCAUGCAUUUUCACAUGAUUAUUGAAAAUUCUGCACGUUAAUUGUAAUGGUUUGAUUGUGGUUUUUGUUCUCUGCAGGUUUUUCUUCCCUUAUCUUAUCAAAUAAAUCAAUUGAUAGGUUAGGCUUUCAUUUUUUUUUCUUCACAGGACUUUUAAGGACAUCCUCAAGUCAAAGUGAUGGAAUCAAAGUCUUCAGGUUUGGAUGCUUUUUUCCUUCUCUUUUUAGAGUAAUUUUCGAGUUUCUUCUCGCAUUUUUCGGGUUCCUUUCCCCAGUCCCCCAAAAUAACAAUAACAAAUUAGGCUUCUUCAUUUUUAGACUCUCUUGGGGUUGGCAGAUAAGGGGUUGCUUGCAUUUAAACCUCACCGUCCGGCUUCUUCUUUCUUAUGAAUUUUUAUCCCUUUCCUACGGCCAGUUCGUGAAGGCCGUUUUCAAAUUGAGGUUUUGUAUAUUCUGUCUCUUAAGAUUUGAUUCUUUCUAUUUUGGAUUAUUUUUUGUCUGAUUUCUCAAACAAUUUGGCUAAUGAAGAGUUUAUGGAUAUACAAUGGGACAAUAUUAUUUUCUCUCUGUUUUAUGUGUUUAUUUAGUUUUACUGUAGUUUUCAUCUAUGCCUUGAGUUUUGGCUUCUCUAUCUUUUUAUCUUUUGUAGCGUUCCAGGUAAAUGGUGAGAAUUAUUCAAGUAUGCGACAUCAUUUUAGUUUCAUGUGAAAAAUCUUCUCUUAUAAUUUUGUUUGAGUGAUUGAAUGUGCAUAUGUGAGCUCUAAGGUUUGGUUCCAUAUUUAUUGUUGAAGAAAAACAGGAAGUGAGGAACACAAUAACCCUACCACGAUUAUGUAUGAAAUAAAUUGGAUCUAUUAAAAACUCAUAUUUUGGGUGUGUUGUUAGGAAGAAAUGCCUAAACUCCGAAUUUGUAUGGAACAUACUCAUUAUAGAAUAGAUUAAUUGUAUGUGUUAUUGCUUUUAGUACUAAAAUUGACUUAUUUGCCCUCCUACAAGUCAUAGCUUUGCUAAUAAAUUGAGAACAAUGUCUGAUUUAGUUUUUUUUUUUUGUCGAAAUGUCUUAUUAGUUUAACUCUUUUCAUUUGAUAAUUCUCUUGCCCUUGGUUUGAGAUAUAAAGUAUUUCAUUUCAGUCAUCAAGUGUCACAGCCUGUCCCGAAAUAUUUUAUUGAUGUUGUGAAAUGACGAAACUGCCUUUGAGCGUUUUUUGACAUUUAAACUUUAGGGUUUGUUUUGGUAACCAUGGUUGUGUUUAGGGUUAGGUGGAAGUGUGAGGACACACACAUCACCCUUUCCCUUUCUUUCUCUUCUCUCCCGUGCACUCUCUCUCUCUCGGAAACACUCUCCCUCUCGGAAACACUCUCCCUCUCUUCCUUCUUUGUACGGACAACAUCAAAACCCUCUCAAACCUUGUAGAUCGAGGGUGUAAAGAACACCAUUGGGUUCGUGAGGAUCAUACAAGUCAAAAGGUACCAGUUUCAGGUAAGGAAACCUUCGAUUUCCCGUGAAAACCCUAACCCUCCGAUUUUGUCACUGUUUAUGCUCAUGUAAAACCUUGUGUUUUAGGGGAUUUUAAGCUCAUAGGGAGCUUUAGGAGGUCCUAAGGAAGAUCAGAGUGGUUUGUUGGAAGAAUUUGGACGUCGAAAUAGUGAGAUCGACGAGUUGCAGGGUUUGGCCUGAUUAUCGAGGUUUUUUUCCAGCGAGUUGGAGGUCGAGGCAUGUAUGGUUUUGUUCGUCUUUGUGAGAUCUUCAAAUUGGUUCAAAUUUCAUUGAAAAUGGUGCAAAAAUGAAGAAGUUAUAGGCAUUAGAAAUUUUUCCAUAAACCGGUGACUCACCGGAGAAGAAAGGAGUUGACGGAAUAUACUAACGGCGUCAUGUAUCUUUAACAGAUUCAGUUAGUUUUAACGGAAUAUUCCUGACGGCGUUAACUGACGCCGUCAGUGUGCCAAGCACAUGGGCGCACGUGGGGGCGCAUCUGGCCGUGCCUUGGCCACGUGGGUGAUCAGAAAAUUAUUCUAAAAAUAUGGGGAUGUUUCUGAGGUUGUGUAGAUCAUUUUGGUAUAUUCAAACACCCCGAUUGAGCAUUGUAUGAGAAGUUGUUACCAAGUUUUGUGUUUGUGCUUUAAAAGUAACGUUUAUAUAGUUGUUUCGCAUAUAGGUGAGACCUAUCCCGAGGACGAGCGAAGUCAGGGGCAACUCGGGGGUUACGACCCUUCCACAUACCAGUGAGUAUAUAUAUAUAUUGAAUAUUUUCCUAGAAAAGCGAUUUAAAUGUGUGAAAUCCCGUUUCUGGAUUUCAUUGUUAUCACCUACAUAUUUGUAUUAUUGAGAUUUUAUAUUAUUUCUCGAGAAUUUAUUUUAAUUUGUUUGAAUUUAAAUUUAAAUUAAAUUAGUUAUUAACGUUUGAAGUUUGAGGCAUUUUAGAAAUAAAUAGAAAAAUCUGAAAUUUUCUUAUGAAAUCUGGUGUGCCACAUGGGUGGCCCAGAUUCAAUGGAAAGGAAAAUGGAUGGUGGAGAUGCAAAGGAAAGGAUUUAAAAGAGAGUGGGCGCUGCCCAGUUAGGAGGGGGGAGAGAAAGAGGUGACCAAUUGGGCGAAGAGGAAAGGAGAGUAAGGAGAGAAGAAGAGGAAGAGGGAACCGGCCGGGGUUUACUAUGGCCCAUGACCCGACCCGGUUAUAUCUCCCAACUCCGGCCACCAUGGACGGCUAGGAUGGUGUCAAAAUGAUCCUUAGCUCGAGGCCAAUCGAUCUCUCUUCCAUUUCUACACUUAAAACGACGAGGGGGAGUCCAAUUUUGAGGAAAUACCACGGUGGGUGCGUCGGGCUUAUGUGGAAAUCCAUUAAAUCUUGAAACGUUUUCUUCCAAUUACAACCACCCAUAGCAUCCUCAUGAGGCCUAGAACAAAGCCCAGACAAGUUUGGGGGCGGCAGAGUUGUUUUCGAGUCGGAUCGAACACACCUAAAAACAAGGGUUCCGUACGGUUCGAGUGAAAUUGGGGAUUUUCCCGGCCAAAUUGGACUUGGCCACAGGUAUAAAAAUUGCUAUACUCAUUGAAAUCUUCAUUUCUGUAAAUUUUGAUAAUUUUUAAAAAUAGUUGAAUUUUUCCGGCAAGUCGGGGCGGCCGACGGCCACCCGUGGCGGCGAGUGCGGCGGUUUCCUGGCCAGUGGGCCGAAAAUAUCAUUUUAAGUUCAAUUAGAUGUCUUGAUUUCAUAAUUGAUAUCCUUAUGAUAUGGUUUGAUUGUUUGAACCUAAUUUCAUUACGAUACGUGGUUAGGUCAAAAUAUGAUUCGACGAUCCUACCGUUGGAUCGUCACCAAACCUUAAUGCGUGAUAGAACAUAAUAUUUUUGGAUCAUAGAAACUUACGGAUCGAGAAUCUGACGUACGGAUCUUCCCUAAUUGGAUUUCUAAGUUUGUAAAAUUAAAUGUCGACCGCCACUUGAAUUUUGAAAUUGGCGGAGAUCCAACUGUCGGAUCAUGUUGAGAUUUCAGUAUGUUGUUAUUUGAGCAUAAUGUGGACUUUGGAAAGUUUCGGAUCGGAAAUCCGAGGUGCGGAUCUUCCGAAUCAAAUUACAUAAGUUUGUGGACCCUACUGUUGAUCGAGAGUUGACUUUUGCUCAACAUGUCAUGAAACGUCCUAAUUACUAAAAUUAGUACUACAGGGGAACUAGGUGAAGUCUAGUGGGCAUGCAUUGAUUAGAGAGUGACUUGAAUAUAUGUGAUAUGAUUAUUACCUUAAUUUCCUAUUAGUAUCCUUUGUGAAGAUGAAUUGGUUUUAUAAAUGUGAUUUCUAUUGAAAUGUGAUUUUUAUAUAUUUAGCCAUAGGCCUAUGAUUAUUAAACAUGAUUUGGCUUGGUACUGAUGAUGGUUGUGACAUAUGUGAGUUAAAUUAUCUUUUUAGUAAUGUGAAUGAUGUGUAUGAUUAUUUUCAUGACAAUGUGAUCCUAGAAUCCUAUUAAAAGUAUGUUGUAGCACUUAUAUGCUUGGGUGCCAUAUUAGUGGUGACCUUGAGAAGUUGAUGGUGUAGGUGACUACGUUGUAACUCAUAGGGUUGAGAUGUGAUGUGGAUAAGUUGAGGUGUUGAAAUUACUACACCAUGUAGUAGUUGUACAUUGAUGGUCCUGCUUGGUAUAUCCGCAUUGGGGGACCAUACGCAUUCUAGGAGUGAUCAUGCUUGGUAUAUCUGCAUUGGGUGAUCACUACCUACCUGAUUAUCUUGACCCUGCUUGGUUAAUCCGCAUUGGGGGGUCACAAGUGGUCCUGCUUGGUUAACCCGCAUUGGGGGACCAUACUUUAUAUGGAUCGCGCUUGGUUAAACCGCGUUGGGCGAUCCUUAUGGCCAUGUAUGCUUAGGAGUGAUCAUGCUUGGUAUAUCCGUAUUGGGUGAUCACUGCCUAGGAUAUUAAACUAUGCAUACGGUUUUGCUUGGUAUAUCCGCGUUGGGGGACCAUAUGCAUUCUAAAAGUAAGGAGGAUUAGUUGUGUUGAUGCACAAAAUCAGCGAAGACUUUGGUACAACAGAAAGUGUCAGGUUUUGUGACCUUCGCUUGGUUGCUUCGGUCACUAGUGAGGAUAAAUACGUAAAUAAAUAGAGACAGAGAAGCAAACACAGGAUGUACGUGGUUCACCCAGAUUGGCUACGUCCACGGAGUAGAGGAGUUCUUAUUAGUAGUGAAGGGCUUACACAAGUACAAAGGAUCAAGCUCUCAAUUUAGUGAGUUCUUGUGAAUGAUUUACACAAAAUGGCAUUAGGCAAUAUUGUGGGGGAAUGACCCCUAUUUAUAGAAAAACUUGUAGCUUUGUCACAUUGACAUGUGUCAUGUUAUGAUUGGUUCUUGAUGUUGACACGUGCUGCGCUCUGAUUGGCUUCUAAUCCUGACACGUGUCGAGUAGUGAUUGGCCUCCUGGUCGGAGGGGAACUCUUCUGGGUCCUUGACAGUAUAGCGUUGGCUGGUACUCGGUAGUUUCGGGAUUGGUCAAGUAUGGUACAAACAGUGCUCCCCUAAGUUCCCGAGUGAGGGAAACUCCUCGGUUGGGGACUUGCAAGAUCCAAUCCCUUGAGUAAUCACGAAACUUCUAAGUACCGAAGUGUGGUCUGAUCUUCAUCUGCCCUUCUCUGGAAGUACCUUUCCUCCAUCCGGGAAUGGUGUAUUUAGCUGAUGUUGACGCACAAGCUAAUGUAUCAAUUUCACUUGAAGCUUAGUUGUAGUUUCGGGCUUAGUCAAGUGUGAUACAAACCCUAUAGUAGGAGUCCCCCAAGUCGCCGAGCUAGGAGAUCUGCCGAAAGAGGUGACAGACAAGGUAAGCAGUCAAACUUCCAAGUAAGCAACCCAGGAUCAGAGGUUUGACUUCGGCUUCCGGUUGAUUGUUCUCAUUCUCCUUGUCUCUCAUUCAACUGCCAGGAUAAGGAGAAGCAAAUGGAUAAGAGAUGAUAUGAGAUACUUUUGCUUUUGAAGAAGUAACUUUCCACAGGCUUAUUCUUGAACUGUGCUGGAGGGUUUUCUGGUGCCCUUCAGAGUAUAAGGCCAACUCAAAAAUUUGAGGGUCAAAACAAGUCCAUCAAAUCUAGAGUACGUUCGACCUUGAUGAUAUGGGAUACUUUUGCUGUUGACGGAAUAAUGAAUGUGGUAUGGAAAGGUGUCGUGCUGUAGUGAUCUGUUUCAGCUCACCGUUUGAACCUUCUGCUUCAAUCUUUUGCAUGGCAGAAGUGGUGUGCAACCUUUGCAUUUAAAUGGUCCUUCAGAACAUUCCUUCAUAGUGACUCAUCCACGCUUGGCAGCUUCAGUGUAAAGAGCCAAUAUCUGAUCAACUGUCAUGAGGUAUUUGCCGGUGGAAUUCGUGACCUUGACAGCAGUUGAGGAUGAGUACUCGAGAGCAAUGCUAAGUAAGCAACCAGGCAAAGGCUCCAGGCAGUCAGUUCCAAAUUGGAGGUUUGAUUUCAGGUUCCGACUGACUGCUCUCUUUCUCCUUGUCCUGCAGGUGUGGACAAGGACAAAGACAAAGACAGGGAGAAAGCAUGAUAUGGGAUACUCUUGCUUUCGAUCCUGAUGAUAUGAGAUACUCUUGUUCUUGGUGUGGCUUAUUUGCUGAGGUAUUAUCGGGGGGAAAUAAAGCUGAGUAUUUCGAGAGGUUAUGUUGAGGGUGCCUUUUCGAAUGCGAGAAAGGGUUGAGCAUUUUUGCAGGUUUGCCUGUCCGUUGAGGAGGGAGGUCAAUGUAUAUAGGGAUUUCCCAAUAACAAGUAGUAAUGCUAUUCCUUUACCCUUCUUGGUCACAGCAAUGUAGUGGGAGCUGCCAGCUUCACGUGUUUUAAUUUUGUCAGAGCACUUUGAAAAAAGUGGUAUGUGGUAUCUGGAAAGCUGAUGUUACGUGUGAAGAUUACAGACAAGCUUUAUCUAAGGAAAUCUGGCUCUCGAAGUUCUGAGAGUUGUGCCUCUUCGGUUUUCGAACAAGCAAUCCCGUCGAGGAUCUGACUCUCGAGAUUCGGAAAGCGGUGCUACUCCGGUUUUUUAGAAAGUAAUUAUGUUGGGAGUCUUUUCUUGAAUGUGAGUAAAGGUUGGACGUUCUUGCCAACCUGUCUUGCCGCAAAACACGGAGGUCGACACACAUAGGGACUUUCCAGUUGUCAAGCAGUGGUGCUGUUCCUUUACCCUUAUGGGUAAUAGUAGGGUAGCUGGAACUUCGAAAUUCUCGUGCCUAAACUUUGUCAGAGAUCUUUGACAAAGUUAUAUGUGGUACCCGAUGAGUUGAUGGUGCAUAUGGAGAGCGGUGAUUGAACAGUAAGAUUCACGUGCUUUCUACUUCACCAGAAAUCUUCGACAGAUUGCCCGUAAUUUCUGCAAAGCUGAGUGUGCAUGUGACAGGUGCUGACGAGGCUGAAAAAGCAGGUGCUUCUUUGAUUUCUGAGAUCGGCCCUCGUGGUCUCUGAGCAGCCCAGCUUUUGAGAAAGCAAACGCCUCUUCGAUUUCUGAAGCUCCGUCGAGUGCAGAUUUUUAUAGAGGCUGGCAUUAAGUUCCACAGCACACUUGAAUCUCUACCAGUAGAAGCUCAUUUCUUGCACUUCUAAGAUCUUGAUUUGUCUGACCUCUUCCCUCUUCAACACAUUUGAAAAUGUCUGGACCCUCCGACCGUCGUUUUGACUUGAACCUUGGAGAAGAGACAGCCACGCCUUCUCCAGACAACAUAUGGCGCCCAUCAUUCAUAUCCCCUACCGGUCCUCUUACCGUUGGGGAUUCUGUGAUGAAGAAUGAUAUGACCGCUGCAGUGGUGGCCAGGAACCUUCUCACUCCCAAAGAUAACAUACUACUUUCCAAACGGUCUGAUGAGUUGGCUGUUAAGGACUCUUUGGCCCUUAGUGUUCAGUGUGCAGGUUCUGUGUCUAAUAUGGCCCAACGCCUAUUUGCUAGAACCCGCCAAGUUGAAUCAUAUUGGCUGCUGAAGUGAUGAGUCUCAAACAGGAGAUUAGAGGGCUCAAGCAUGAGAAUAAGCAGUUGCACCGGCUCGCCCAUGACUAUGCUACAAACAUGAAGAGGAAGCUUGACCAGAUGAAGGAAUCUGAUGGUAAGGUUUUACUUGAUCAUCAGCGGUUUGUGGGUUUGUUCCAAAGGCAUUUAUUGCCUUCGUUCCUCUGGGGCUGUACCUGGUAAUGAAGCUUCAAAUGAUGAACCUCCAAUGCCUCCUCCUUCUGGGGUUUUGUCAAGUACUGAGGCUCCGGAUAACCACCCUCCGGUGCUUUCUCUUUCUGGGGCUCUACCGACUGCUGAGACUUCCCCUAAGCAACCUUUGUGAAGGCUCCCUUUUGUUUGUUUAUUUUGACUCAUGUAUAUGUACAUAUUUGUGGCUUAUCGAAAAUAUUAAUAAAAUAAGCUUUGCUUCAUUUCAACAUAUUGUGUUAAAUACACCAAAGCCUUCUUCAUAAAGUUCUUUGAAUUUUUGCUUUUGUUGAAACCUGUAUUGUUGAAGCUUUGUGAGUGAAGCAUGUAGUUUGAGGUAGUGUUCCCUUAAUUUCUCGAGUGAGGAAAACUUCUCGGUUGGAGACUUGAAAAAUCCAAGUCACUGAGUGGUUGUGAGACUGCCGAGUAUCAAGGUGCAGUAGCAUAUGGUGGGAGUCCCCCAAGUCUUCAGGCGAAGAGAGUUGCCGAAUGAGGUGUCUCGCGUGUUACUAAUUUGUCAAAGUAACGAAUUCUUGUUUCGAUGUCACACAUUCGUAUAUGCUUUAUCUAAAAAAUAUUUCCAACUUUUGUGUGUGUUUGAUGCUGCAUGCUAUUGACUAGACAAGAUCAAGUGCAAUUAGUAGCUUUCUCUCUUUUUCAUCUUUUCUUUGGUGGAAUUGCUUUUCGUUUCCACUAAUCAGCCUGAGUGGAUGCAAGAUAACACCUUUCUCUAUAGCUCAGAUUGCAAAGUCGUCUUCAUGAAAGUUUUUCCUUAUCUUGUGAACUACAAUAUAUCCAAAUUUGAGAUCCAUCGGAGUAGUACAACUUCAGAAAUUCAAGUAUGAUGAGUAACUGUUCAUCAAUGUUCUGUUAAUCCGUCAGACUUGUUGUGAGCUUCGAAACUCCAUUUUCUCUUGUUCAGAUCAACAUACUUUCUUUCUUCAUCGAAGUUGUUCCUCAGCUUGUGAACUACAACAUAUCCAAAUUUGAGAUCCCUCGGAGCAGUAUAACUCCAGAAAUCCAGGUAUGAUGAAUGACUGGUUAUUAUUUUUCUGUCAACCCGUCAGAUUUGUUGUGAGCUUCGAAACUCCAUUUUCUCUUGUUCAGAUCGGUAUGCUUUUCUUCAUUGAAGUUGUUCCUCAGCUCGUGAACUACAACAUAUCCAAAUUUGAGAUCCCUCGGAGCAGUAUAACUCCAGAAAUCCAGGUAUGAUGAAUGACUGGUUAUUAUUUUUCUGUCAACCCGUCAGAUUUGUUGUGAGCUUCGAAACUCCAUUUUCUAUUGUUCAGAUCGGCAUGCUUUCUUCAUUGAAGUUGUUCCUCAUCGUCUCUUUCAUAACAUAUCAAAAAUUCAGAAUGAACUAAUGGUUAAAUAUUUCCAGAUCUUUGAAACAUCACAGCAGCUUCGAAAUCUGCAAGAAUCCGACUGUCAUGUUUGGAACUUCAACACUUUAAUUUCCGUCGCUCAAACAGAAAUGGUUCCUUCUUGAAAGUUGUUCAUAUGCUCAAGAACUAUAGGGUGUCCAAAAUUCAGCUCCAUUGGAGAAGAGCAGAGGUUGCAGAAAUUUGAUAGAUGAAAGGAGGCGGAAGAGGGAGAGAGAGAAAAAGUCUCUUGGGUUGGAUUUCUAUUUUGGGGCAGAUUCCAAUUUUUGUAGCACCUUCAUUAUUGAUGAAUUGCUUGUACUUUUGUCCAUUAUGAAACUUGGGACUUUGGCUUGUUGUUGGAUCUAUUAUAAUAUGUUUGGGAACAUAUAUAAGUGAAUAAAUAAGAAGGAAAAUUUUGGGCCCUUGUGGGUGUAAAACAAAAAAUGUUUAUGUUUACCCAAGUGGUUUUGUGAACAAAAUUUGUUUAUUUGGAGCAAGGUUUUGUGUUGAAGCUUUGUAGGUGAAGCUUUGUAGAUGAAGCUUUCGAGGUGAAGCUUUGAUGGUGAAGCUUUGUAGAUGAAGCUUUCUGGGUGAAGCUUUGAUGGUGAAGCUUUGUAGAUGAAGCUUUCGAGGUGAAGCUUUGAUGGUGAAGCUUUGUAGAUGAAGCUUUCUGGGUGAAGCUUUGAUGGUGAAGCUUUGUAGAUGAAAGUAUGUAGAGGGAGCUUUCUAGGUGAAGAUUUUUUAGGUGAAGCUUUGUAGGUGAAGCUUUUUUAAGUGAAGCUUUUCGGGUGAAGUUUUUGUUGGGUGAAGCUUUGUGGGUGAAGCUUUUUAGGUGAAGCUUUGUGGGUGAAGCUUUGGAGGUGAAGCUUUUCGGGUGAAGCUUUUUGGAUGAAGCUUUUUUUUUUUUUUUUUUUUUUUUUUUUUUUUUUUUUGGCGCUUGACACGGUCUUCAUUUGCUUGUUUUGUAGUGACUGUGGAAGACGGAUUGCUUUCUGAAUUGAGAAGGGUUCCGGCAUCGCUUGCUAUGAAUGUAAAAGAGUGAGGGCUGAGUUGGCUAAAUUACCUCUUUAUUGAAUUCAUUGCCAAAUGGCCUUCAUUACAUAGGAUGCCGAACGGCUAUAGCUCAACACUUGUACAUCGUGAGUCUAUUUGUAGUAGUACUUCAAGUGAUCAGCGUUCCAUGGAUGGCCAAGGGUCUUGCCAUCGGAGCUUCUAAGUGUGUAAGAGCCAGGGCGACUGAUGCCAAUGACUUCAUACGGUCCAUCCCAGUUUGGACUAAGUGUGCCUUCACUCGGGACUCUGUCGCAGAGUAAUCUUUUCUUUUAAGACCCAGUCUCCUAUUUUGAAAGAACGAGGCUUGACCCUAGAGUCAUAAUAGUUGGAGAUGCGCUGCUUGUAGGCGACAUUCCUCAAGUGAGCUUGGUUUCUGUGUUCCUCGACUAAAUCCAAGUUGAGGGUGAGUUGUUUGUCAUUUUCACUUUGAAUGUAGUUCUGGACUCGGAAUGUUGCUUGCUCGAGCUCAACAGGGACAACCGCCUCUGUGCCAAAGGCAAGUGAGAAUGGAGUUUCUCCUGUUGAAGUCCGAUAUGAAGUGCGAUAUGACCAAAGAACUUGGGGUACAAAUUCUGGCCAACAGCCUUUAGCUUUGUCCAAGCUGGUUUUCAAAGUGCGCUUGAUUAUUUUGUUGAUGGCCUCAACUUGUCCAUUAGACUGGGGAUGAGCUGGAGAGGCAAAGCAUAAGUUGAUGUUGAACUUAGAGCAGAACAACCUGAACUUCUUGUUGUCAAACUGUCGCCCAUUGUCAGUGACUAUCGCAUUGGGAAUGCCGAAUCUACAAAGGAUGUUCUUCCACACGAAGUCUUCUAUCUUUGCCUCAGUAAUGGUUGCCAAGGGUUCUACUUCGGCCCACUUUGUGAAGUAGUCCACUGCAACGACUGCGUAACAGACUUUGCCCUUCCCUGCCGGCAUUGGGCCGAUCAAAUCAAGUCCCCACUGGGCGAAGGGCCAAGGGCUGAUCAUAGGAGUAAGAGGCUCUGGAGGGGAAUGAGGAAUAGUUGCAUAUCGUUGACAUUUGUCACAUGAGCGGGAUACUUUGAUGGCAUCCUGGUGGAGUGUUGGCCAGUAAUAUCCUUGGCGAAAAGUCUUGUGUGCUAGGGACCGAGAUCCAGCAUGAUCUCCACAGACUCCCUCAUGUAUUUCCCGAAGGACGAUUUCCGCCUCGGCAGGCGUAAGACACCUUAAGUAUGGCAGGCUAAAACCUCGCUUAUAGAGUUGAUCAUUGAUGAUCAGGUAGCGGGUAGACUUGUAUCGAAUUUGCUUAGCCUGGACUUUAUCAUUUGGGAGGGUGCCAUGAGCAAGGAAAUUAUAGAUCGGGGUGAUCCAACUAUCCCCCUGUUGUAAGUUGCAUACUUCUGCGGCCAUGGUGCUUGGUGUUGCCAACAGUUCGACAUGAAUUUUUCUUCCAAUCUUGUCUUCCACAGCUGAGGCGAGGCGAGCCAGGGCGUCUGCAUGACUGUUUGCCGCUCGAGGAACUUGGGUGAUCUGGUAGUGGAAGUGCUUGAGUAAAAGUUGUGUUUGCGCAAGAUAUGCUGCCAUGGAGCUGUCCUUAGCAUCAAAGUUGUUGGUAACCUGGUUGACCACUAAUUGGGAGUCACUGAAAAUAUCAAUUUGUUUAACCCCGAGGUGUUUGGCCAAACGUAAUCCUGCUAGAAGGGCUUCAUACUCGGCCUCAUUAUUUGAUGCCUUGAAUUUGAAACGAAGAGCAUACUCCAUUGCUACUUUGUCGGGUGUAGUCAAGACUAGUCCCGCUCCACAGCCCUGUUGGUUGGAUGAGCCAUCAACAUACAGACUCCAUGCUGGGGUUGUUGGUUCUAUCUUCUGAGCUUCCGGGGGUAAUGAAGCCACUGUUUCAGGUGUAGAAGCAAUGUCAACCGGAUAUGUGAAGUCGGCAAUGAAGUCUGCCACUGCUUGGCCCUUCUCAGCUGGCUUUGGUUGGUAGGAGAUGUCAAACUCACCCAACGCUAUUGCCCAUUUGAUCAUUCGCCCUGAAGUGUCAGGACUUUGGAGUAUCUGUCGAAGAGGAUAAUUGGUAAGCACGAUGAUGGAGUGCGCUUGGAAGUAAGGGCGGAGUUUUCGAGCAGACAUGACCAAUGCCAGAGCCAAUUUCUCAAUGUUAGAGUACCGUGUCUCCGCAUCUUGUAAGGCUUUGCUAGCGUAGUAGACAGGUCGCUCAAUAUUCCCAUCCUUUCGAAUGAGAACGGAACUUACGGCUGAAGCUGAUACCGAUAGGUAGAUAAUGAGAAUGUCUCCUACCUCGGGCUUGGUGAGUAGAGGGGCUUUACUCAUGUACUCCUUGAGGUUUUUGAAUGCCUCGGCACAUUCAUCAGUCCAUGUAAUGUACUUCCUACUUCCCUUAAGUGCUUUAAAAAAGGGAGCACAUUUGUCUGUGGCCUUAGAAAUGAACCUGGUUAAGGCUGCCACCUUGCCAGUAAGGCUCUGGAUGUCCUUUGAAGUUACCGGUUCCUUCAUGUCGAGGAUUGCUUUGAUCUUCUCGGGAUUAGCUUCAAUGCCUCGUUGGCUAAUCAUGAAACCUAAGAAUUUGCCAGAGCCUACGCCGAAGGCACAUUUGUUGGGGUUUAACCUCAUUCGAUACCUCUUCAAAAUAGUGAAAGUUUCAGAUAGGUUGGUGAUGUGUUGGUCAGCAUGUUUGCUCUUGACUAACAUAUCAUCAACGUAAACUUCCAUGCUCUUCCCAAUCUGCUCGGCGAACAUUGAGUUGACUAGUCUCUGAUAAGUCGCUCCUGCAUUCUUUAGGCCGAAAGGCAUGACUUUAUAGCAGUAUAGUCCUCUGUCGGUAGUGAAGGCUGUGUGUUCUUGAUCCGAAGGGUUCAUGAGGAUUUGGUUGUAUCCUGAGUAAGCAUCCAUGAAGCUCAGGAGUUCACACCCGGCCGUAGAGUCUAUAAGUCUGUCAAUAAGAGGAAGAGGGAAGCUAUCUUUCGGACACCCUUUGUUUAGGUCGGUGUAGUCAACACACAUUCUCCACAAGACCUUUUGAAGCGAAAGACUUUCUUUGGUCGGAUUUUUCCUAACAAGGACCACAUUUGCUACCCAUGUCGGGUAAUUGACUUCGCGGACAAAGCCUAUGCCUUUGAGUUUUUCAACUUCUGCUUUCAUUGCCUCGUAUCGUUCAGCGUCAUAAGAUCUUCGCUUCUGUCUCACCGGCUUGAUCUUGGGGUCAAUACUCAAACGAUGACAGAUGACAUCGGGAGAGAUGCCUGGCAUGUCCUCGUAUGACCAGGCGAAGACUUCAGUGUUCUCUUUCAAAAAAGAUAUCAAUGCUAACCGAAGGGGUGGUGACAAUGUGGUGCCAAUCUUCACCAUGUGAUCUGGAUAAUCUCUUGAGAUAGGUACCUUCUCCAACUCUUCAGCAGGUUGGGCUUGCUGGGUGAAAGAGUCAUCUCGAGGAUCAUCGGGUUGAUUGUUGCUAUCAGGAAGAUCCAAGUUCGCUUCAUCUAGGCUGGUCUUUGUGACUUGGUCAUGUACAGACAGGGUUUCCUUGGGUCCGGGCAAGUGUUGUUGCUUAACUGAAGUGUUGUAACAUGAUCGUGCACUAAGCUGAUCUCCUCUGAUGUAGCCGUUGCCAUGGGGGGUUGGAAAUUUCAUCAACAGCAUAUGCGUGGAUACCAUAGCCUUGAGAUCAUUGAUGCCUGUGCGCCCAAAGAUGACAUUGUAUGCCGUUGGGCAGUCAACCACUAGGAAGUUAGUGGUAAUGGUAGCCGUGUAAGGGCCUGUACCAAUAGUAAAGGGUAAAUGUAUGCUCCCUAAGGGUUGCACGAUAUCACCGGAGAAGCUUAUCAGAGGAGAAAUCGAGCGAUCGAGCAAGUGUUCAGCUACACUGAGUGCCCUGAAAGCUUCGGCAAACAUGAUAUUGACCGAAGCCCCUGUGUCUACGAGGAUUCGUCGAACAUCAAAGUUGGCUAUGUGAGCCUCCACGAUCAAUGGGUCGUUAUGAGGGUAGAUGAUGCCUCUUUCUUCCUCAGGGUAGAAACAUAUCGGAUCCCAGUUAGGCUUUUGAUACUUCCCUCCCCUGAUGUCUUCCACGUGAAACACUUGGUGACCAGGCCUCAGAAUUCGUUCACUGUUUUUCAUGGCCCUAUUGGAAGAUUCAGAUAUGGGUGUGCCGCCGCUUAUGGAAUAUAUGACAUUCACCUGGCGUUGGUUACGGUUAUCCCUUUGAGGGUGAAGGAGGAAUUGAUCAAUUUUUCCUUCUCGUGCCAAAGCUUCAAUACGAUCACGGAGGAUGAUACAUUUCUCGCUAUCAUGGCCGUUAUGCUCAUGGUAGCAACAAAACAUGCCCGCGUUAUUCGGGGGCGUGUAAUCUGGGUGCCUCGGCUUUGGCUUUGGUAUCAGGUGAGCUAUGCUGGGGUAAAUGGCCGCGCAUGUGGCAUUCAAGGGCGUGUAUGUCUCAUACCUUGGGGUAGGGGGUAUCUUGACGCGGGUUUGACCCACUGCAUUGACUGCCUGGGGGCGAGCGUUAUUGUGGCGAUACCCUUGGUUAUCGGGAUAGUGUCCCUUACUCUUUUUUACUGAAAUGAGAGUGGUGAGGAUGGAAAUCCUUCCUCUUGCCUUGAAAUUGAUAUGUCUGUUGAUUCGGCGAAGCAUUAUGCAAGGCAUGGGGAGGUGCCACUGCUGUUUGGAAAGUCGAGGUCUUCUCAUUUAGGUGAGUCUGGCUUCCACCUCCCACUUGUUGAUAAAGGAUGGUUGUAGGGGGUUUCUCCUGAUAUGUCUUUGCCUCGGCGGAGGCAUGGUUAUAAGCCUGCGCCAUCACCUCAGAGUAAGUCUUCCAAGUAUUGGCAUUGAUCAUGUAUUUAAAGAAACAAUCACGUAGGCCUGCCGUGAAGGCUUUGAGGGCAGUCUUGUCGUCUGCCUCGGCACACCGGGAGUAUUCAUGGCUGAAGCGGCCAGCAUACAUACGUAAUGACUCGUCUGGCUUCUGGCGGAUAGUGUACAGGUCAUCUGCAGAGUGCAAGCGAUCGGUUUGGAAAAUGUGUUGGGAAACAAAUAGUUUCCUCAAUUCCUCAAAUGAGUCUACCGUCUCAGGUGUAAGACGACAAUACCAAUUUAGAGCUCCGCCAGAGAGGGUGGAGGGGAAGAGAAGACAUCGCUCUUCGUCGGUGUGCAUCCGGUAUGCCAUGGUGGACUCAAAGAGGUUAAGGUGCUCAAUCGGGUCCUCUUUUCCAGUAUAAAGUUGCAAGCCAAGCUUUUUGCUUUGUCUUUGCUUGAAGGGGGGUGUUGAGGAUCCUCCUUGUAAGAGGGCCAGGCCUGGGUUGGUUCCAGUCAGGUAUUUCAGCCUGACGUUCAGCCUUCAACUUGUUUACUUCCUCAAGAAGUUGUAGGACAAGGGGGUCCUGAGCGGAGUUAUGUGCCACUGGAGCUUUCUUUCGUAAAUCUCCAUCUUCUCUUGGAAUUAGGAAGGUUUGAUCAAGGGCAUGUGAUUUUUCCCUGGACUCGCUGUACUGGCUUCCAGGGUAUGUCUGUCGGAACACCUCUGAGUCCCCUGUACCCUCAUGUCUCUCUAGGACUUGUUGCCCCUUCCCCAAAUUGGUGGCCGGCUUGGGCCGUGGCAGGGGACCGAGUCUCUCAGAAAUCCUUGGGUCAUUAAUCUUUGAGCUUAUAUGGAUGGAAUUCUCUCGACGUUGCUUCAGGAAAUCCCGACAAUAGCGAAAGACAGCUUUCGAUCCUUCUGCCCCUUCAGCAAAGAGGUGUCUCCCUCCACUUCUCAUGGUUCGGGUUGAAGCAACUGGGUUAAGAGAAGCCUCAUGUUGAUUAUCAAGUCGAGGGGUAAUCUGUUCCCUAUCAGGGAUAUCUAUGUCGAAUGCAUGUGACCCUCCAUGUUGGAGGGCACCCAGUUGAUGGUUGACUUCCACGGGGGCAACAAGCUCGCGUGUCUGAGCUUGCCUAGCUUCGUGGAGUGUCUCGAAGAGCUUCUCAUAUUGCUCCUGGAGGACCUCAUUCCUCAUUGCUAUCUUGUUGUUCUGAGCUUCCAACUCAUCGACUUUAGCUUGAAGAAGAACUCGUUUUCCUUCCUUCUUUCGUUGUUUCGCACUAUGUGCAAGGGGGGUGUCAUUCUGUGUGCUGUGGCUUCCUUCGCUUCCCAUGUUGGAGAGGGAUGCCUGGUCAAAAGAAAGUGUACGAAUGAUAGAAACCAGCUUGACACAGCUGAAGAGAGUAGGAAUAAGUGUCGUUUCCCACAGACGGCGCCAAAUGUUGAUUAUCAAAAUCAGCGAAGACUUUGGUACAACAGAAAGUGUCAGGUUUUGUGACCUUCGCUUGGUUGCUUCGGUCACUAGUGAGGAUAAAUACGUAAAUAAAUAGAGACAGAGAAGCAAACACAGGAUGUACGUGGUUCACCCAGAUUGGCUACGUCCACGGAGUAGAGGAGUUCUUAUUAGUAGUGAAGGGCUUACACAAGUACAAAGGAUCAAGCUCUCAAUUUAGUGAGUUCUUGUGAAUGAUUUAACACAAAAUGGCAUUAGGCAAUAUUGUGGGGGAAUGACCCCUAUUUAUAGAAAAACUUGUAGCUUUGUCACAUUGACAUGUGUCAUGUUAUGAUUGGUUCUUGAUGUUGACACGUGAUGCGCUCUGAUUGGCUUCUAAUCCUGACACGUGUCGAGUAGUGAUUGGCCUCCUGGUCGGAGGGGAACUCUUCUGGGUCCUUGACAGUAUAGCGUUGGCCGGUGCUCGGUAGUUUCGGGAUUGGUCAAGUAUGGUACAAACAAGUUGUACUUAGUACAUUUGAUGGGCAAUCAUAUUUUAGUUGGUUCCGUUGAGUGGUCCGGAAUCCUUUUUGGUGUCUUGGUUCCGUUGAGAGGUCCGGAACCCGAUGCUGAUGGAUUUCGUUGAGGGGUCCGAAAUUGCAUCAUUUGAUUCAUUUAAGACAGCUUCAGCAAUGUAGACUUAUGUCGAAUUGUGUCGCUCUAACCCGGCAUUCCGAUGAAUUGUAUGUGUUAUUGAUGAUAUGGUGAUUGGCAUUAUUGAUUGAUGUGAUAAUUGGAUGGUAAUGGAAUGCAUAUGUGAGGAUGAAUGACGUUAUGAGUAGAGAUUAUUAUUGUGCUUUGUUAAAUGUUCCUUAAGGUGCUACAUAAUUGAAUUGUGGUAUUAUGUUGAGACCUAGUGGUCUAUGUGACGAAUGUUCGAUAGUAGUGAAAUGUGAACUACGAAUGACUUGAUCCCUGUUGAGGGUACGUAGGUAGUCUAACGAGGAGGUUAGAUGCAGUCAUAAAAUACACAAAAAUUACAACGAAAUUCGAAUAUUGAAUUAUGCUUUGUAAAUAUUUCGGGCGGGAUAUGUGAGAUAUACGGGUUUUUAAUGACGUCACGUGCUGAUCUUGGACGUAUGUCGGGAUCAGGGCGUGACAAAAUGAGUUUUAUGAAAUGAAAUGGCAUGCCAAUUAUAUUUAUAUUAAGAAUGUGCAUAUGUGAUUAUAUAUGUUGUGAUUCGAUGCUAUGGGCGCUCAGGUAAGUUUCAAGUAAGUUUAUGUGUUGAGUUUAAGGUGUGGAAAAAUGAUGAUUGUUGAGAUGUGUUGAGAGCUCAUUAACCUGCACCCGGGUGUUAGUGCUCCUGCCCAUGGUUAGGGGCACAGUCUUUCACGUGAUGUUUACCUCCCGUAGCACACGCUCAUCUUGGAUCCAAGUUAGGUGCACAAUCCUGUUGUAUAGACCACUUUCAGUGGGUUCGACUCGUUGGUGACCUGCAAUCAUUCGCACAGUCUUCACGUGAUUGUAGCAUUAGAGCAUAUUUGUUUUACACCCAGUCAUGUCGUAUAGACCACUAUAGGUGGGUUCGACUCGUGUGCAGACAUGAUUUAUGAGAUAGAAUUCAGUUGAUUUGAUAUUCUCACAUGUUAUCACUCCUUGGGGUACUUACCUUGUUAUUUGAGAUGAUUGGCAUGGUAUAUUCACGUUUUGACUUUGGAUUUUGAUAUUGCUGGAUAUGUUGAGAUUACGAGUAUAUGUAUAUGCUAUUUGCUGGGAAAUUAUACAGGUUUUACAGAGAGGGGUUAUACUUUUGAGAAAUGAAAUGAUUUUGAAAAGUUUUGUUUUUUGCCCACUCACGCGUUUUGUUUUGCGCCCCUCUAGGUUUUAGGUAGCGUUGUUGGUGGCUUACGAGUUUUCAGCGGAGGUUCUGACAGACCAUCACUUAUGUAGAAUCACCUUUGGGUGUUGUUAUUUAGUACUUUUAUGCUUGACUGCACUUAGGCUAGUUAAGCUCUGAUUGUGUAUUCACACUUAAUUUCCACUCUUGCAUCUUAGUCUUGUCUAGUACUAUCAGGAUUUGGUUUCUAUUCAAUUGUAUUUCUCUAUAUUAAUCUUGCUUCCGCACUGUGCAUAUGGCUACGUCACCCUCACGUGACGGUUAGCAUGUCUCGAUCUUGGUCGGGGUGUGUCAUCAAGUCACCUUUUAACUUCUAUUAUGUUGAUUUUUGUCUGUAGGUACACAAAAAUAUGCAGAUUUGGCUUUCAAAUUGAGAGGCCUAAGGACAAUCUCUGUUCAUAGAAAAAAAAGUUGGACAUAGAAGGCAUGGGUAUGGGAACAUGAUUGGUUGUUAUAUUGCUUUGGGACGUUUUGAUAUUUUAGAGAUUAAUGAGUUUGUGGAGAUUUUGUUUUUCACAUCUUGCUUUGUAUUUGAACUUAAGCACUAUAACUGAACUUACUUUAAAAUUAUAGGACUUCAAAACGCGACCGCGGUUAGGAUUAGAAAGGGCCAAGUAUAUAUGUUGAGAAACUAGGCAUUGCAAGCAUAUAAAUUCCAAUUUUAUUAUUGCUAAACCAUAUAUCAAAUGUAGUUAGGAAUUAAAUUAAGUACAAACUACAUGGGGAUGGAGAAAGUUAUGUAUAGGUGAGAGCCUAAAAAUACUUGAGAAUCAAAUACUGCACAAAUUUGUGAUAAGUUAGAUGAGUAAAGAUCGCCUUUUGUCAAGCAGUUUUUGACUUUUCUGCAUUCUUUUAUAUAGUUUUUUCUUUUUUUCUUCCUAUUUUGUCAGAUUAGAUAGAUAGGGGCGCUAAUAAAAAAAAAGAAAGAAAGUAUUUUUGCAUUUUGCUGCACGUGAUGAUGUUGAUGAUAUACAAUAUUCAAUGACUAAACCCUAUUCCCUAUACUAUAGCAAAAAAUGAAGCAUAAUUAUACAAUAGCUACACACAAAACAUUGAAAGUAUACAUGCGUGCAGUAAGAAUGAAUGGUAAAAAUGCCAUGUUCCUUUUAACAUUGCGAAUUACCGAGCUUUAUGGAGGGAGUAUAAAUACGAAUGCUCUUGGUGGUCUUCAUCUAAUUUCUUAUUAGUAUCAUCUCGAUGUUUUGGAACUUUUGACAGCCCUCUCACCGAACAUAUAAUUUUUAGGGGCGCGCAGCGCUCGUAAUUAAAAAAACGCGCAUGCGGAGAGGCUGGUAUAUACUAAAGUCCUACGCCCAAAAAUGCUGUUCAUAAGAGCAGUGUAAAGACGCAAAUACCCCUCCUCAACUGAUCUUUUCCUUCCUAUAUUUCAUGAGGCUACAGUAAAAAGACGAAAAACCAUGUUGCACACGUGGCGUGCUAGCGAGAUUUCUCUCUUCCACCGCUUCCUUCCUCUGCAGUCUACACCUCUUGCGUUUUUGCCUUUCCUCUCCAGCUGUCGGCCAUCACAGAGUCUUAUGGCAUCUUCCCGUUCUUUUCGCUGUUUUUCCUUCGGUUGCUUUUCACUUCUUUUCCUCUAAUUUGACUUCGUUUGUUUUGUGUUAUGUGGUUUUUAUUGAUUUUCAAUGUGUAUUGAUUGAUACUAACAAUUACAAGAUGAAACUUAUAUAUAGGGAAAGAAAGAUGACAUAAGCCUAACUUGCCUAACUUGCCUAACUUACACAAAGAAAGUUGACUAGCCUAACUUCACUAGUCAUCCAAUACAAUUGUUCCAACAUGUUUAUUUCAUGCAUUUUAACACUCCCCCUCAAGUUGGAGUGUGGAUGUCAAUGAUACCCAACUUGCUAAGUAAGACCUCAAAUUGCGCCGAGCUUAGUGGUUUGGUGAACAAAUCUGCAGGUUGAUUCGAGGUUCGUAUGUAAGCUGUUUGCACCAUUCCCAUCUGAAUCUUCUCACGUACUAAGUGACAGUCGAUCUCUAUAUGCUUCGUUCGUUCAUGAAACACUGGGUUCGAAGCAAUGUGCAUGGCAUCUUGAUUAUCACAAAACAAUGUGACUGGUUGUGCAUGAUUCACUCGUAAGUCCUUCAAAAGGUUUCUUAGCCAUAUAACUUCACAACAGGUGAUAGCCAUAGAACGAUAUUCUGCCUCUGCACUAGAACGAGAUACUGUGCUUUGCUUCUUUGUUUUCCAAGAUAUCGGUGCUUGCCCAAGGAAGAUACAAUAACCGGUUAUUGACCUUCUAGUGUCUUUACACCGAGCCCAAUCAGCAUCACAAAAAGCUUGUAAUUGUAGUGAACCUGUAGAAGGCAAAAGAAUUCCCUGGCCAGGAGAUUGUUUGAUGUAUCUGAGAACCUUAUACACUGCAUCAAGGUGUGGUUGUCGCGGCUUGUCCAUGAAUUGGCUUAACAUAUUAACCACGUAAGUCAGGUCAGGCCUCAUGAUGGUUAAGUAAAUUAGCCUCCCUACGAGUCUCCUAUAUGAAGAAGGAUCAUGUAGGAGCGUCCCUUCAGUUUAUGUAAGGGACAAGUUUGGUUCCAUGGGCAAUCGUGAGGGCUUCGCACCAAGGAACCCAACAUCUUCUAGUAUCUCCAACGCAUAUUUGCGUUGGCACAAGGCAAUCCCUUGUUUAGAUCUUGCAACUUCUAUCCCCAAAAAAUAUUUGAUUUUUCCCAAAUCCUUUAGCUUAAAAUGUUGGGAAAUGAAGAGUUUAGUCUCUUCAAUUUCUCUCAAAUUGUUACCUGCAAGUAUUACGUCAUCAACAUACACAAGUAAUGCCAUGAAACUGCCUUGAUUGAUGAAAACCAGCAGUCUUGAGAGCACUAGACAGCUUAAUAAACCACUGUCUUGAGGCCUGUUUUAAACCAUAAAUGGAUUUGUGUAAUUUGCAUAGUUGUGUCUCCCCCUUUCGUCCGAACCCAGGAGGUAUAUAAACCUCAUCGUAUAAGUCACCAUGCAAAAAUGCGUUGUUUACAUCAAGUUGGUGAAGAUGCCAACCACAGAUGAAGGCAAUACUGAGGAGGACAUGGACGGUGGUGAGCUUGGCAACUGGAGCAAAUGUUUCCCGAUAAUCAAGCCCUUCAAUUUGACUAUAGCCUUUAGCAACGAGACGGGCUUUGUAGCGUUCAACACUGCCGUCAAGUUUAAGCUUCACCUUAUAGAUCCAUUUGCAGCCUAUGGGAUGUUUGUGAGGUGGUAAGGGCACAAGAGUCCAAGUGCGAUUGUCAUGGAGGGCAUCAAUCUCUUUUUGCAUGGCGUCACGCCAUUUUGGAUCCUGAACAGCCUGCGAAAAACUGGUGGGUUCUUUGAUAAUGGUGAGGGUGGUGAGAAAGGUUUUGUGAGGGGGGAUACAUGGUCAUAGGAUAAAUAACGAGAUAGGGAGUGAGAUGUACCUGAGGACUGAACCAUGCUUGUGGAAGAUGUGGGUGCAACACGGGAUGGGAGGGCCACCUCAACAUGAAAGUCUUGCAAAAAUAUGGAAGUUUUGGUUGGUCGAGUGCUAGGACGGAGUGCAGGGGUUGGAUCUGGUGAUGGAGUGGUUGGAGGUGGGGAAGAGUGUAGGGUAGGUGAAGGUGUUGAUAAGGUAUCUGGUGGUGGAGUUGUAGAGGGUAAAGGAGAUGAGGGUGGUGUGAUGUCGGCAAGUGUGGGAGAUGUGGUGUUUAUGUCUGCUGGUGCAAGGCUUGAAUGCGACUCAAUGGGAGAGGUCGAGUCAAACGGGAUAGGUGUAGUGUUUGAUGGAGACGGGGCAACGGAAGUGUUACAAUGUUGGAAUGGAAAAUGAUCUUCAAAAAAUACGACAUCCCUAGAAACAAAAGUCUUAUUGUGUUUUAUAUCAAACAAUUUAUAACCCUUUUGACCAUAAGGAUACCCAAGAAAAAUGCAUUGGAUUGCACGAGGGUCAAAUUUAGAGGGCCUUUGGGCAUGUGUAGAAGCAAAACACAAGCUACCGAAAACCUUCAAAUGAGAAUAGUUAGGUGCUUUGUGAAACAGUUUUUCGUAUGGUGUUUUACCUUGGAGAAGUGGAGUGGGUGUUCUAUUGAUGAGGUAGGCUGAGGUUAGGAUUGCAUCUCCCCAAAAACAUUUUGGCAGACAAGCUUGAAAGAGCAAAGCCCGAGCAACAUUGAGCAAGUGCCGGUGUUUACGUUCGGCAACACCAUUUUGUUGUGGUGUGUUGACUCAACUAGAUUGAUGUAUGAUGCCUUUGAGAGCAUAAAAUUGCUCAAGUUUAAACUCAGGGCCAUUGUCACUUCGUAUGAUUUGAACUCUGGUAUUGAAUUGAGUCUCAAUCAUUUGAAUGAAUUUGACUAAAAUGUCUUUUGUGUCAGAUUUAUGUUUCAUCAAAUGAACCCAAGUGCUUCUAGUGUAGUCAUCUACGAUGGUAAGGAAAUACUUGGCACCUGAAAUAGAAGCAACUUGAUAACCACCCUAAAUAUCAAUAUGCAAUAAUUCAAAACAUGAUUUGGUAGAAAUAGAGCUCAAAGGAAAGGGUGAUCGUGUUUGUUUGGCCAAUGGGCAAAUUGAACAUUUUUCCAAAUCACAAGCUUUAUUGUUAAAGAAAGGUAAUAACGAAGUGGCUUUAUGAGAUGGGUGUCCUAGGCGUUGGUGCCAAAGCUUUGGUGCGAUGGUUUGAAUAUUGUUGCAUGUUCUUUUCCUUGAUGAGUCGAGGUAGUAGAGUCCAUCCCUUUCAGUUCCCAUCCCAAUCAUCUUCCCCGAGCGAAGGUUCUGAAUGACACAAAAUUGGGUGAAGAAAAUUGUGACAUAUAAGGAAUCAUAGGCUAGUUUACUGAUGGAUAUUAAAUUUAAUUUAAAGAAUGGCACACAUAGGACAUUGUCAAGGAUAAGAUUAUGAGAGAAAACAACUUGUCCAAUGUGAGUGACUUUGGCAACGGAACCAUUUGGCAGUUCAACUGUAUGAUUUUCAACAGCUCGUGAGUGUGUAAAGAGACUAGGGUUGAAAGUUCUUCAUGACUAGAAGGAUUACCGACUUGAUUGGCAAAUGAUGAUUUGUUCUUGUUCAACAUUUGAAGGAUUUGCUUGCAAUCCUCCUGAGAGAACGGGAAAUUGGGCAACAUCUCUUGCUUGUUACUUUGUGAAACUUGAUUCCCUUUUGAAGAAAAAGGACGACUGCUUUCCGUUUCUGUGGCUGCUUUUCGUUUUCGACAGAAAUCGAAGGUGUGACCUUUCCAUCCACAAAAAGUGCACUUGAGAUGUGCACGACAGUUUUUGGUGAUGUGAUUUGUUCUAUUGCACUUUCCACAUCGCAUCUCUUUGUCUUCCGGUGUAGGUUCUUGCGACAAAUUCUUCACUCCAAAGACAACAGCCUCUGGUUGUGUACUCUUCCCAUUGGAAACCUCUGCCUGGCGUUCAUGUCGAAGGACCAACGCAUAUGCCUUGUUCACCGUAGGCUGUGGUUCAAGAAGAAGGGUAUUGCUUCGAACCGUAGCAUACGAUUCGUUCAAUCCCAUAAGGAACUUCAUGGUUUUCUGAGUUUCAACAUAUGAGUUCAUCUCAUUCUUUGUUCCACAACUGCAUGCUGGAAUGGAACACAAAGUAUCACGUUCAUCCCAUAAACUUUUAAGUUUAGUGCAGUAAGAACUUACACUCAUAUUGCUUUAGACGCAAUCAUGGAUCUCGUUCUUAACAUGGAACAGCUGAACUAUAUUCACAUGUGAGAACCUCUCCUGCAGAUCGGUCCACAUUUGUCGAGCAUCCUUGUAGUUGAUGACACUCCUUGAAAUCUCCUUUGACAUGGAGCCUAGUAGCCAUGUCUUGACCAAGUUGUUGCAGCGAUUCCAUUGUUGCAACUCCUCAGAAUUGUCCUCACUUGGUUUGUUGAUUGUCCCAUCAACAAAACCAAGUUUGUUCUUGACCGUUAAGGCCAUACUCAUGGAUUGAACCCAUGUGCUGUAGUUGUCUUCCACCAAUGGUUGUGGUACGAGGAUUGCACCAGGUUGGUCCGAGUGGUGGAGAUAGAGUGGGUGGUUGGGAUUUUCCCAUUUUGAAUGAGAAGCCAUGCCUGGAAUGGUUGACCUCAUGACUGCCUUAGAGCUUGUGUUUUGUGGUUUUCCCAGAUCACAGCUCUGAUACCAUAUUGAUUUUCAAUGUGUAUUGAUUGAUACUAACAAUUACAAGAUGAAACUUAUAUAUAGGGAAAGAAAGAGGACAUAAGCCUAACUUGCCUAACUUGCCUAACUUACACAAAGAAAGUUGACUAGCCUAACUUCACUAGUCAUCCAAUACAAUUGUUCCAAUACAAUUGUUCCAACAUGUUUAUUUCAUGCAUUUUAACAGUUUUGGUUUCGUUUGCUCUCUUUCCCUUCUUCUCUGUUGGUUUCUGUUGCUUCUCCAUCAGUUCACCCAAACCACCGCUUGCUUCUCCACCAGUUCACCCAAAUCCGACGAAGGGCGCCACAACAAACGUGCCAAUCUUCCUGCACCACCGGUCUCCGCAACGUUUUCCAAAACCCGCUUGACCGAAGGUAAGCGAAUUUGGUGUUCUGGAUUAUAUCGGAAUUGAAAUAGGUUUGGUUUCAUUAACUUUUUGGGUUAAUAAAUUUGUAUGCUCUGAUUCUUUUGAAUUUGAGUUUGGAUUGGAAUUUAAUUUUGAUUUACAAAUCUCUGAUAAAACCUCAACAAGAAACUUAAACCCUCAGCAAGAAACUUAAACCCAAUGCAUCAUCCUAUUAAUUCCAACAUCUCCUCAAUAAGUAUUCUAAGAUAUAAAUAUUACAAUUCUGGUGAUCAUAGAAAAAUGCAUAUUUGAGUGAUCAUGGAACACUGUUAGUAGCUACACAUAUCAUAAUAAUUUAGGAUAUGGACGUUAAAUUAUCUUAAACUGCAGAAUGUGGCUUUUACAUUGUUAUAUGGAAUUUCCCCUAGGAAGAAAUAGCAUUGAACUUAUAGGAUGGAUACAUAAAUAGCCUAUGUACGCAUUACAAAAUGAUUUAGUUGUUUGGGAUUAAACAAAGUUUGGUUUUUCAUGGUGAGUUCUCAACUGGGUUUUACUUAUUUUUUUGCCUCCGAUAUAAGUUUUAGAUGCUUUUCUUUGUUUUUCGCUAAUUUUUAAAUUUAUUUUUUUUACUAUUUAGUGUGAGAAAAUGGCUUCAAAAUUGGAUUUCCAAUGUCUGGGCAGAGGAAAACAGGAAGAGAACACCAAUGGUGGUUACGAAGGAGAAUCCCUUCUUUGCGGUGGAAAUUGACGGUCCAUGUGCAACAUUCAACCCAGUUUAUAAGAGCAGGGGUCAAUAUGAAGAACCAAUGACAUGGGGUUUUGUUUAAUUUUAUUAAGUUUUGUACUGAGGUAAAAUUCUCCCCAUUUAACAUAGUUUUAAAUGUUGAUUAGUAUAUGUGUAAAUAGGAUUGUGAGUAUGGUUGUAUAUGUAGUAGUAGAAUUGAAAACAUUGUUGUAAUUAUGUGUAAGUAGAGUUGUAAACCCGACGCAUCGCGCGGGCCUUUUUGCUUGUUACCCCUAAACGUUACAAAAAUCCCAAAAAUUAAAAGGAAACUAAAAAAAAUUAGAAUUUACCCAUAGUUUCGCGAAUCCCAGCCGGAUGAACUGGUGGCAGUUGUAAGAGCGGAUCUCCAGCUCCGAACCUCUUCUAUUUCAGCGUUAGAAUCAUGGUCGUGCUGAUCAAAAGCUUUCGCGAAACUUCCCUUUAGUUUACGACAUCAGACGGAUCAACUUCAUAGAAAAUGGGGAGUACAAUCUGUUUAUUGGUAUCCUCGCAUUCCAGGAUUUGCACGAGUUCUUUCAAGCACCAAGUGGAAGAAGCAUAGUUUUGAGAGAAAACUACAAUCGAAAUCCUUGACUCUCGAAUGGCUGACAGGAGCUUGGAAAGGCGGUCGCCUUUUCUGAGGUCUUCGGCAUCAAUGAAGGCGUUGAUUGGUUUCUGACGCAGGGCUUUGUAGAGAUGGCUGACGAAGCCCCUGCGAGUGUCUUCCCCUCUGAAAUUGAUGAACACAUCGUAUUUCCAACCAAGGCCAGAAGAAGAAGAAGAAGCAGCCAUUAAUCGAUCGAGCAGCUAAGUCCUAGAGUAAUGUAAGAACAGAAAUACUCGAUUGAUCAAUAAAUUGAAUCACAGAAAAAACUGGUCUGAUCGAUACGAAGUCAACGAGGACAGAAAAUUAUGCUUUAUGUGUUUUCACAUCUUCUUCCGGGAAAUUUAACGAAAAUAAUUUUCUUGCCGGCAAAAUUGACUUCAAAAUAUAAAAAUAUUCUUCCAGGUAUGGACAUAUGAAGUUUCAGUGUGAAACGAAUCUGCAUACUUUGGUUUGGUUUUGACCCAAGAAAAUGCUAAGAAAGGAUGGUUUAGCAGCUUUGCAUGAGGGGACUGGGUCAAAGUACUCUGUUGAAUCUGCCCUUGCCUACCCAACAACUUCUUUGUAAGUCGGAAAUAAAUCCCGAUCUUCCUAUUCACACGAAAAAUGAGUGGGGUGACAGGAAAUAUUUCUUGUUAAAUGUAAGCAUCUCACACAUGUGGUAUAUUCAAAGGUAUUGAGGCGACAAACGAGCGAUUAAUAGUUUGGCUUUUAAUUUGAUGUCACGGUAGUAACGGUACUUACUAUGAAAUCUUUGAUAUAUUUGCUUUUAGCUACAAAACAACUAAAACUCCACAAAUUGCUUAUGAAAAUAAAAAAUAUUGACAAGAUUUGAACUUGUAUUAUCUACAUCUUCACUACACAUUGUUGCUCCGCUCGUGUUCUGAAGUUGACAAUAGCUAGAAGGUCACAGCAAGAAGCAGAGGAGGCUAACUGUUACAGAAAAUUUGUUUAUUCAAAGCAUUAAUAAAAACACAUUGAAAUUAAUUCACGCAAAAAAUAAAUAAUACAGUGAAGGAUUUACAGUGGUGGCAGCCACACUUCAAAAAUAGGGCGUCUCACCCUGUGGAGAAAGCAUUUUUUGCUAUGAAUAAAAAUUCCACUGCGUAACAAAACAGGAGAUUAAUGAUUGAGUGAUAGCUGAGUUGUUUGCAAUGAGAGAGAUGUUUUUACUUUUAUUGAUAAGGAGUCUACAUAUGCGAUGUUCUCAUAGUAUAAAACUUCGCCGACAACAAUUAUAACUUGUUUGUGUUGAUAAAUUUUGAAUGACAUUAAUAUUGUCUAAUAUCUAAAAGAAUUUGGAUGGCUACAUUUUUUUUUUUUGGAAAACCUUUUAACCUUAUAAAUUGCGGGCUUCUUCCGACAAUUCCUAACUUCGUCACUGCUUCAGUCAACUCGAAGUCCUAGUGGUUCUUGUCCAUGAUAUCAAUAUCCCUACAAUAAACGGUGACUUCAAUAUGAGCUACACUCAGUCUAACAAAAAGUUUGUAUAGAGAAGAUAUGCAUGAAAAAAUGGCAAUGGUUGUGUUUGUGUUGCUGAACGAAUGAUACUGAAAUACCUAAACCCAAGUCAAGCUCCUUUAGUCCACGAAAACAAAAGUUUAGAAUACAAUAAUGUUUGCAUAUAGACUAGAGAAACGACAUACCGCAGGCCAGGAAGGUGCAGUGAAAGAGAGAGGAAGAGAGGAAAAGAGGAAAGAAACAAACAUGAAAUGACAAAGACUAUCAAAUAGAUUAUAACAAUGACUUCUUAGCGAUGGUUACAACUAUUUAACUAUCGAUAAUGCAUUAUUUUAGUUUGAAACGUGGAAGCAUUUGAGAAGUAGCAUGUCAACAACCAUUACACAAUAAUAUUGUCUAAUAUCUAAAAGAAUUUGGAAGUCUACAUUUUUUGGAACCUUUUACCCUUAUAAAUUUUGCGCCUCUCCUGACAAUUUCUAGUUUCGUCGUUGCUUCAGUCAACUCCAAGUUCUAGUGGUUCUUGUCUAUGAUAUCAAUAGCCCCACCGUAAAUGGUGACUUCAGUAUAAGCUACACUUAGUAUAAGUGUAUGGGGGACAUAUAUGUAUGAAAAAAUGGCAGUGGUUGUAUCUGUGUUGACUAACGGAUGGUACUGGAAUACCUAAACCCAAGUCAAGCUCCUUCAGUCCACAAAAAUCAAAAGUUUAUAAUAUAAUAAUGUUUGCAUAUAGACUUGAGAAAAGACAUACCGCCAGCCGGGAAGGUGCAAUGAACAAGAGAGGAAAAGAGGAAAUAAACGAACAAGAAAGGACAAAGACUAUCCAAUAGAUUAUAACAAUGACUUCUUAGUAGUGAAGUGAUUAAGCUAUUCCACUAUUAAUAAUGCAUUAUUCUUAGAUUGAAAUGGUUCAGAAAUUUAAAAGCCAGAAUUGACUUAUAUAAAAUCAAUUUUUAAUUGGGUAGAUGUAAUUUGUAAAACAAAAAUGUUUAUAAAAAAAAAUUUCUCUUGAAAAUGUAUUCUGGUGCCAGGAUUUAAACCUGGAUGAAAACUCUUAACCGUAAGACUUUUUGUAGUGAGCAACACUGGACUAGUUGAUAGACUAUGAUGAAAUAAACCAUUUAAAUGUACUCCUUACGUUAUGCAGUGCGCAUACUGGAUAAACAAUUAGUGCACAUAAUGUGGUUAUCUGAUUUGUGGGGAAUGGUGAUGCUCACCGCUGACUUUUGGUUUACUGACAGGCUCUCAAAGUUAAAUAUAUCAGAUUUUGUUUGACAUUCGUAACAUAUUUUAAUAUUUUCACCACAACAACAACAACAACAACAAAGUCUUUUCCCACUAAGUGGGGUCGGCUAUAUGAAUCCUAGAACGCCAUUGCGCUCGGUUUUGUGUCAUGUCCUCUGUUAGAUCCAAGUACUCUAAGUCUUUUCUUAGAGUCUCUUCUAAAGUUUUCCUAGGUCUUCCUCUACUCCUUCGGCCUUGAACCUCUGUCUCGUAGUCACAUCUUCGAACCGGAGCGUCAAUAGGCCUUCUUUGCACAUGUCCAAAUCACCGGAACCGAUUUUCUCUCAUCUUUCCUUCAAUUUCGGCUACUCCUACUUUACCUCGGAUAUCCUCAUUCCCAAUCUUAUCCUUUCUCGUGUGCCCACACAUCCCACGAAGCAUCCUCAUCUCCACUACACCCAUUUUGUGUACGUGUUGAUGUUUCACCGCCCAACAUUCUGUGCCAUACAACAUCGCUGGCCUUAUUGUCGUCCUAUAAAAUUUUCCCUUGAGCUUCAGUGGCUUACGACGGUCACACAACACGCCGGAUGCACUCUUACACUUCAUCCAUCCAGCUUGUAUUCUAUGGUUGAGAUCUCCAUCUAAUUCUCCGUUCUCUUGCAAGAUAGAUCCUAGGUAGCGAAAACGGUCGCUUUUUGUGAUCUUCGCUAGAUUACUCCGGUCAUUAGCGUGGAUAAGUAUAUAAAUGGAUAGAGAUAGGAAAGCAAACACAAGAUGUACGUGGUUCACCCAGAUUGGCUACAUCCACGGAAUAGAGGAGUUCUCAUUAAUUGUGAAGGGUUUACACAAGUACAUAGGUUCAAGCUCUCCUUUAGUGAGUACAAGUGAAUGAUUUAGUACAAAUGACAUUAUGAAAUAUUGUGGGAGAAUGAUCUCGUAAUCAUGAAACUUCUAAGUAUCGGAGUGUGGUAUCGUCUUGACUUGCCUUAUCUGUCUCAUAGGUAGAUGUGGCAUCUUCUCUGGAAGUACUCUUCCUCCAUCCAUGGGUGGUAUCUUUAACUGGUGGAGAUGCAUAAGGUAAUGUAUCAAUUUCACUUGAAGCUUACUUGUAGUUUCAGGCUUGGUCAAGCGCGAUACAAACCAUGUAGUAGGAGUCCCCCAAGUCGCCGAGCUAGGGGAUUUGCUGAAAGAGGUGACAGACAAGGUAAGCAAUCAGAGCUCCGGCUGAUUGUUCACAUUCUCCCUAUCUUGCAGGCAGCAUGAAGGAUAAAGAGAAGAAAAAAUGAGAAGAGAUGAUAUGGGAUACUUUUGCUUUUGAAGAAGUAACUUUCCACAGGCUUAUUCUUGAACUGAAGCUGGAGGGUUUUCUGGUUUCCUCCAGAGUAUAAGGCCGACUGAAGAAUUUGAGGGUCAAAACAAGUCCAUCAAAUCUAGAGUACGUUCGACCCUGCUGAUAUGGGAUACUUUUGCUUUUGACAGAGUAAUGGAUGUAUCGGCACGUGUGCUGUUACGCUUGUCUCUCCACAUGCUUCCUUGUAUCCUUCUCACUUGCCCUAUCUGUUCCUCAAGGCAAGAUGCGGUAUCUUCCCUGGAAGCAUAAGAUGUUGAAGAUGAGUACUCGAGAGCAAUGCCAGGUAAGUAAUCAGGUAAGGGGUUCCAGGCAGUCAGUUCCUAGCUGGAAGCUUGAUUCCAAGUGCUGACUGAUUGCUCUCUUUCUCCUUGUCUUGCAGGUAAAGAACAAGGCCAAAGGAAAAGACAGGGAAAAAGCAUGAUAUGGGAUAUACUCUUGCUUUUUAACCCUGAUGAUAUGAGAUAUUCUUGCUCUAGUAUAGCUUGUUUGUAGAGGUAUUAUCGGGGGGAAAGAAAGCUGAAUAUUUCGAAAGGCUUCGUUGGGAGUGCCCUCUCAGAUAUGAGAAAGGGUUGAGCAUUUUUGCAGGUCUGCCUGUCCGUUGGGGAUGGAGGUCGACAUAUAUAGGAGUCUCCCUAAUAACAAGUAGUAAUGUUAUUCCUUUACCCUGCUUGGUCAUAGCACGAUAGUUGGAGCUGCCAGCUUCACAUGUUUUAACUCUGUCAGAGCACUUUGAAAAAGUGGUCUGUGGUAUCUGGAAAGCUGAUGUUGCGUGUGAAGAUUACAGACAAGCUUUACCCAAGGAGAUUUGGUUCUUGAAGUUGGGAAAAUGGUGCCUUUUCGGUUUUCGAACAAGCAAUCCUAUCGGGGAUCUGGCUCUCGAGAUUUGGAGAACGAUGCCUCUUCGAUUUUUGAGAAAGCAAUCAUGCUGGGGGUCUAGCUCUCGAGAUUCGGAGAGCGGUGUCUCUUCGAUUUUUGAGAAAGUAAUCAUGUUGGGAGUCUGGCUCUCGAGAUUCGGAGGACGGUGCCUCUUCGAUUUUGGAGCAAGCAAUCUUGUUGAGAAUGUUUUCUCGAAUGUGAGUAAAGGUUGGGCAUGUUUGCUAGUCUACCUUGCCACGAAGCACAGAGGUUGACACACAGGGACUUUCCAAUUAUCCAGCAAUGGUACUGUUCCUUUACCCUCUUUUCGAUUUUUGAGAAAGUAGGCAUGUUGGGAGUCUGGCUCUCGAGAUUCGGAGGACGGUGCCUCUUCGAUUUUGGAGCAAGCAAUCUUGUAAUCUUGUUGGGAGUGUUUUCUCGAAUGUGAGUAAAGGUUGGGCAUGUUUGCUAGUCUACCUUGCCACGAAGCACAGAGGUUGACACACAGGGACUUUCCAAUUAUCCAGCAGUGGUACUGUUCCUUUACCCUCGUGGGUAAUAAUAUGGUAGCUAGACCUUCAAAAUUUAUGUGUCUAAACUUUGUUAGUGUUGUUUCUUUGCUAUUCUUUUACCCUUCUUGGUCAGAGCGAUGUAGUGGGAGCUGCAAGCUUCACGUGCUCAACUUUGGCAGAGAACUUUGGUAAAGUUAUCUGUGGUACCCAUGAGCUACUGUUGCGUGUGGGAAGUGGGUGAUUGAACAGUAAGAUUCAUGUGCCUUCUACUUCACCAGAAGUCUUCGACAUAAUGCCCAUAAUUUCCGCAAAGCUGAGUGUGCGUGUGACAGGUGCUGACAAGGCUGGAAAAGUAGGUGCCUCUUUGAUUUCUGAGAUCGACCCUCAUGGUCUCUGAGCAGCCCAGCUUUUGAGAAAGCAAGCGCCUCUUCGAUUUCUGAGAUCGGCCUUCGUGGUCUUUGAGCAACCCAGCUUUUGAGAAAGCAAACGCCUCUUCGGUUUCUGAGAUCAACCCUCGUGGUCUCUGAGAGUAAAGGUUGGGCAUGUUUGCUAGUCUACCUUGCCAUGAAGCACAUAGGUUGACACAUUCGGAGAGCGGUGUCUCUUCGAUUUUUGAGAAAGUAGUCAUGUUGGGAGUCUGGCUCUCGAGAUUCGGAGGACGGUGCCUCUUCGAUUUUGGAGCAAGCAAUCUUAUUGGGAGUGUUUUCUCAAAUGUGAGUAAAGGUUGGGCAUGUUUGCUAGUCUACCUUGCCACGAAGCACAGAGGUUGACACACAGGGACUUUCCAAUUAUCCAGCAGUGGUACUGUUCCUUUACCCUUAUGGGUAAUAAUAUGGUAGCUAGACCUUCAAAAUUUAUGUGUCUAAACUUUGUUAGUACUAUUUCUUUGCUAUUCUUUUACCCUUCUUGGUCAGAGCGAUGUAGUGGGAGCUGCAAGCUUCACGUGCUCAACUUUGGCAGAGAACUUUGGCAAAGUUAUCUGUGGUACCCAUGAGCUACUGUUGCGUGUGGGAAAUGGGUGAUUGAACAGUAAGAUUCAUGUGCUUUCUACUUCACCAGAAGUCUUCGACAGAAUGCCCAUAAUUUUCGCAAAGCUGAGUGUGCAUGUGACAGGUGCUGACAAGGUUGGAAAGGUAGGUGCCUCUUCGAUUUCUGAGAUCGGCCCUCGUGGUCUCUGAGCAGCCCAGCUUUUGAGAAAGCAAGCGCCUCUUCGAUUUCUGAGAUCAGCCUUCGUGGUCUUUGAGCAGCCCAGCUUUUGAAAAAGCAAACGCCUCUUCGAUUUCUGAGAUCAACCCUCGUGGUCUCUGAGCAGCCCAGCUUUUGAGAAAGCAAACGCCUCUUCGAUUUUUGAAGCUCCGUCGAGUGUAUAUUUUUAUAGGGGCUGGCAUUAAGUUCCAAAGCACACUUGAAUCUCCACCAGUAGAAGCUCCAUUCUUGUACUUCUAAGAUCUUGAUUUGUCCGACUUCUUCUCUCUUCAACACCUUUGAAAAUGUCUGGCCCCUCCGACCGUCGUUUUGACUUGAACCUUGUUGAAGAUGCAGCCCCGCCUUCUCAAGACAACAUAUGGCGCCCAUCCUUCGUCUCCCCUACUGGUCCUCUUACCGUUGGGGAUUCCGUGAUGAAGAAUGAUAUGACCGUUGCGGUGGUGGCCAGGAACCUUCUCACUCCCAAAGAUAACAGACUACUUUCCAAACGGUCUGAUGAGUUAGCUGUUAAGGAUUCUCUGGCUCUCAGUGUUCAGUAUGCAAGUUCUGUGUCUAAUAUGGCCCAACACCUAUUUGCUCGAACCCGUCAAGUUGAAUCAUUGGCGGCUGAAGUGAUGAGUCUCAAACAGGAGAUUAGAGGGCUCAAGCAUGAGAAUAAACAGUUGCACCGGCUCGCACAUGACUAUGCUACAAACAUGAAGAUGAAGCUUGACCAGAUGAAGGAAUCUGAUGGUCAGGUUUUACUUGAUCAUCAGAGAUUUGUGGGUUUGUUCCAAAGGCAUUUAUUGCCUUCGUCUUCUGGGGCUGUAUCGCGUAAUGAAGCUCUAAAUGAUCAACCUCUGAUGCCUCCUCCUUCUAGGGUUCUGUCCAGUACUGAGGCUCCGAAUGAUCCCCCUCCGGUGCCUUCUCUUUCUGGGGCUCUACCGACUGCUGAGACUUCUCCUAAGCAACCUUUGUGAAGGCUCCCUCUUGUUUGUUUAUUUUGACUCAUGUAUAUGUAUGUGUAGCUUAUCGGGGAUAUCAAUAAAUAAGCUUUCCUUCAUUUCAACAUAUUGUGUUAAAUACACCAAAGCCUUCUUCGCUAAGUUCUUUGAAUUUUCUUUUGUUGAAGCUUGUAUGUUGAAACUUUGUGAGUGGAUCAUGUAGGUUAAGGUAGUGUUCCCUUAUUUUCAUCAAUAUUGAUAUUUUAAACAAUGACAAUUCUUAGAAUACUGGAAUUCAUGUCAUUUUCAUAAACAAAUAAAUGGUUAAGAAAUGUAUAUAUUAGAAAAUUAAGAGCCAGAUUUAACUAAUAUUAAAUCGAUUUUAAAUCGGGUAGUAAAACAAAAUUAGGAAUCUGUGUCCUUUUCAUAAAUAAAUAAAUGGUUACAAAAUUUAUAUAUCAUAAAUUUAAAAGCCAGAAUUGACUUAUAUAAAAUCGAUUUUUAAUUGGGUAGAUGUAAUUUGUAAAACAAAAAUGUUUAAAAAACAAUUCUCUUAAAAAUGGUAUUCUGGUGCCAGGAUUCGAACCUGGAUGAAAACUCUUAACCGUAAGACUUUUUGUAGUGAGCAACAUCAGAUGAGUUGAUAGAUUAUGUAACGCCCCGCGCCCGAAAUAUUUAUUUUCAUAAAAUAAUUCCAAUGAUAAGCCUAAAUUAAAUUUUUUAUUUACAUUACAACCAAUAAUCACGAUUCCUUAUUUAAUUUUCUUAAUCCCUCACAAAAACUAUAACCCAUAAUUAACUUACCAAAACAUACGAUUAAAUUUUCAUAAUUUGUCACCAACUUCUACUCUUAAAACAACUUCCCAACUAAAGAUUAAAUCUCAAUUAUUAAGGCUACAUCUAACUCUUGUUAGACUGCCUACAUACCCUUUAGCGGGAUCAAGGCUUUCGUAGUUCAUAAAUCCGUUUAAAUCCAUUCUUAUAGCCGUUUCUGAAAAUAUUCUAGAAUUGGAAAUAUUCAACAUUAGCUUUCACAAUCGAAUCACAUCAAAUGAUUACCAAUUAUGGAUUUAAAUUGUCUAAAUUAGUAUUAAAAGGCAGCGUCGGCCCACUGGCCACGCGCCACCACGGGUGGCGAUCUCCAGUGAUCGGAAACCCCAAUUUCCGACAAACUCUACAAAUUACCAAAUUUUAUAGGGUUGUAGAGUUCAAUUAUAGGAACAACUUUCAUACUUGGGACGAAGUCCAAUUCGGCCAAGAAAAGCCCCAAUUUCACUCAAUUCCGUCUGAACCCUAGAAUUUGGGUGUCCUCAAUUAGUCAUCUCCCGUGCCCCGCCGCCCCAAACAAGGCUUGGUAGAUGUUCCUGGGUUCACAAGGAGUCUAACCAUGGUGGUAGUCAAUGGUGGUGGCUUCACAAACGGGAGAUCGCAGAAACGGACCCAUCGCACCCACCAAUGUAGGUUUCACUAAAUUAAAGCAUAUUUCCAUCGAAAUUGGGAUGGAAUUGGUGAAGGUAUCAAUUGGUAUCGAAGGGAGGGUUAUUUUUGGCACCGUUCCCAUCAUCAACGAUGGUCGGAAUAAAAAACAAUGGUCAGGUCGGGUCGGCGGGUUGAAGGAAGGUCUGGUUCCCUUCUCUCCUUUCCCUCCCUACCUCCCCCUCUGGUUGGUCCGUGUCUCUCGCCUUCUCUCCUUCCCUUUCCAUCACAGCCACACACGUGGCUUCUCAGAUCCUUGCUCCAGCAAAUCUGGAGCCUUUUAGAUAUUGGUCAAAUGACCAUUUUACUCCUAACUUCAAUUGUUAAUAACUUCUUCGUUAUAACUCCGUUUCAUGAACGGUUUUCGUCUACAUGUUCGUAGGGCCAUCCUUUAUCCAAAUAUAUCAAGAAAUCCGAUAAAAUAUAUGAGGAUAAAAUACAUCCUUGUAUAAUUACGUCAAACUAGUUAGGGCAUUUUCUUCUUUUCUACUUAACGAUAAAUUUUACUACGUAAAUUAUAAAAUUUCCGGAAACAAAACUUUAAAAGUUCACAAUUUUUUUUUCUUUCAUAACCAUAAAUUGAUUUAUUGUCGAUUUUUCUUCACAUAUUCAUAUAUUUAAAUUUUCAGGGUAUUACAGAUUAUGACAAAAUAAACCAUUUAAAUGUUCUCCUUACGUUAUGCAUUGCGCAUAUUGGAUAAACAAUUAGUGCACAUAAUGUGGUUAUCUGAUUUGUGGGGAAAGGUGAUGCUCACCGCUGACUUUUGGUUUAGAGACAGGCUCUCAAACUUAAAUAUAUCAGAUUUUGUUUGACAUUCGUAACAUAUUUUAAUAUUUUCACCGUUAUUGAUAUUUUAAACAAUGACAAUUCUUAGAAUACUGGAAUUCAUGUCCUUUUCAAUUUUCAUAAACAAAUAAAUGGUUAAGAAAUGUAUAUAUUAGAAAAUUAAGAGCUAGAAUUGACUAAUAUUAAAUCGAUUUUAAAUCGGGUAGUAAAACAAAAUUAGGAAUCCAUGUCCUUUUCAUAAAUAAAUAAAUGGUUAAGAAAUUUAUAUAUCAGAAAUUUAAAAACCAAAAUUGACUUAUAUAAAAUCGAUUUUUAAAUGGGUAGAUGUAAUUUGUAAAACAAUUUUUUUUUUAAAUAAUUCUCUUAUAAAUGGUAUUCCGGUGCCACGAUUCAAACCUGGAUGAAAACUCUUAACCGUAAAACUUUUUGUAUUGAGCAACACCGAACGAGUUGAUAGAUUAUGACGAAAUAAAAACAUAAUAAUUUCUUUCAAACUUAGUGAAUAACCUUCAGAAAAUAAAAACACCGAACGAGUUCAUAGAUUAUGACAAAUUAGUGGAUAAACACCUUCAGAAAAUAAAAACACCGAACGAGUUCAGCGGUGAGCAUCACCAUUCCCCACAAAUCAGAUAACCACAUUAUGCGCACAAAGAAUCAAUCAAAACAUAAUAAUUGAAUGAACGAGGAUUUCUUUCAUUUUUUCCAAAUUUUCUGAAGGUUUUUUCUAUAAGAACUUUUCUCUGACCAAUGCUUUCUAACAUUUCAUCAUUUUUUUUUAAAUUACACAAAUUCUUUGCAUACAUUGUUGUUAAAAAGAAAAUUUCUAUUAUUAAGGAGAGAGUUCGAAACUAUUGAAUUAUGGAAGAUGGACUUUUGAACUCGAGACACGGGUAGAAACCUAACACCUAUCCACUAGGACAUUAGAUCACCAGAGGUGGUCCUGGUUUUUUGGUGCCGACUGCCCAUGAACACUCAAAAUGUGCUUUUUUCCAGUACAACAUAAAUUAAACUGAAAGAUUUAAAAAGGGCUGGAGCCAGUCGAAGCUGUUGGGACAUUCUUCCAAAGAGGGAGAUGAAAUCGUUGAGGCUCUUACAGAUCCCACGUCACUGUCUUCAUUCAGCAGUUUUCCUCCAUCUACAUCAACAACUGCACGUUGCUCAAGAAGGUACUUCUAAAAAUUGAAAGUCAAACGAUAAAUUAUUAAGAAACAUUGAAUAUAAGCAUGAAACAAAGAAAAUGUUACGGAAUGGUGAUCCUCAUCCUCAAAGAUGAUUAAAAGCAAUUUGAUUCAAAAAUGACAUAUCAACUCUGGAGAAAUGGAAGACAAACAUGUGGUACCAUAUUCGCAACAGAGGUUAUGAAAGCUGAAAUCGAUUGUUCCUGUGUGCAUUGAUAAGUAAGACUACCGUAGAGAUUCACAACUAAGUAAAGACAGGUAUUCCACAGAACAACCCUGACCUCUUUGGAAACACAGAUCUAACAAAAACUAAAACAUUUUGGAUUAAUAUUGACUAAUCAAGAAUAAUGCAAGGGAGCAAAAGAGAUACUCUUCCUUCUAAUAACAAGAAGGCAUAAAAAGUAUACAGAGUUCCAACAAUUAGAGAACUUAAAUCAAACUAAAAAAAUCACCAAAGUAGACAGAAUUUCACUUCGCCAAAAAUUUGAAAAUAUAUCCUUUUUAUCCACUGAGAAUCAUAAACUACUACUACUACAUCAUGCCAAUAAGCAAUGCGUAAGAGGUGCUACAAUUUACCAAUAUAUUUACCCUGAGAACAAGUUUUGAAAUCAUCUCUAGUGUUAACAGCACCUUGCGUCCUUGGGUAAGCUGAGUCCUAGUAUCAAGUAAAGAGACCAAUCAGUACAUAUCCAAAAGAUCUUAAAUGCUUGUAAUACCAAAUAAGAAAGAAACAUGAGUAUAUCUUGAGUUAACCAUGCAAAAAUGUAAUGUUAAGGCAUCUUGUCAUACAGACCUCUUCAAGGUACCAGAAAUUUUUGCACUAAAGAUGUCACAAGCGGCUGAUAUGAAGCUGCAUUUUCUGUGAGUUGAGAUUUUGUCAAUAUAAUCGAUCACCUGAAGAGAGAGAGAGAGAGAGAGAGAGAGAGAGAGAGAAAGACAGUGAUAUCCAGAGAUGUGAGCCUAAAGGCUGAGUGUGUAAAAAAUAAGAUUAAAUGGAUAGCAAGAAUAUACAACUUUAAUGCCGAAAAGAACAUUAUAUGAUGCUCAUUCAUCAUUGCCAUUGAACGUGUACCUUCUUCUUUUCCUCUUUCUCAAAAGGAAGUAGACCCUUGAAGACUUGCCUAUAUGAUCCAUCAUCACAACCAGGCAAAGUCAUUUUAAUCAUAGCAACAAUGGCUCUAACUACCUGCCAUAAGAAACAUGCUACAUCAACAAGAUCACAGAGUGUACCAGAAACCGUAAUGUAGCAAAAUCUUAGAUAGAAUAGCUGGCCAAAAGGGAAUGGAAAAGCAAGCACAAAAAACAAUGAAAAGGACCAGUGAUGCCAAAAUUCAGGUGUUUAUAACUUUAAGUUCUACGUAGCAAAAACCACCUUAUGCACAACAAUAUUGGAAAAAUUAGAUACAUACAACUGAGAAGAUAGGUUUUCAUAAUCUGGACAAGUGCUAACUACCUUCUUCCUAUAAACUGCCACUCCAUGAACAUUAAAUGGUAUUUUCGUUUCACGCAAGGCUGUCUGGAAGACUUUUCCUGAUACCUGUAGUAUAAAAUACAAAAGAAAAUGUGACCAAAAUGUCUUAUAUGAUUCACCUCAUUCACAUUAGCACUAGGGCAAGCAAGCUUGACCUGCCUCCGGUAAAGGAUUGCUAUAUUUCCAUAGGAGCACCCUGCUUCUGACAGUUAGAUGCAGUCUCCAGGAUCUUGUCGACAACAAAGGCGCAUUAUGCAUCCUCAUUGUGACUUUCCUUGAUAAUUACCUACAUUUUGCCAGUAAAACCAGUGUCACUAACUAAAAAGACUGAAAAAUGACAUCAAAUUGUACUUGUUGGAGCAAGGAAAGAUUAGGUACAUUAGACCCAGAAGAAUUGUCGGUGUCAACAUUCUUUAGUUGGCAUCACUUCUUAUUGUUUUUUAUAACAGAAGAUGCAGCUUCCACAAUAUAGCGUGUGGACCGAUAGUUUUUAUUAAGCCUAAUCUGAACCAUAAAGUUAUGUCAAAUCCCACAGAACCCCAUAAAAUAAAACUUACUUUCCUGUAAUUAUACAAUAUAUUUGUUCUAUACUAUAUAUAAUGAAAAAAGACACUGAAUGACAUAAGAUAAACAUAGCAGUUAAGUGCGAAGGAACCUCUUUGUAAUUUGAAAAAUCUUUACAAAAAGAAUCAAAUCCAGAACUGUCCGCCCCGUUGAAACUGAAAAUGGACUGCAGCAGGAUAUAUGUUAUUUGAUUUAGAACAGAUAAGGGCUGGAUUAGAAUGAGCUGAGAGAGAGAGAGAGGGAGAGAGGGAGCAAUAAGAUUGGAUUUCCAUAAUAAAUCAACAACAUGCCUGAUCAUCAUCACCAACAAUGGUUAUGUGGUUAUGAGAGGCGAGAAUCCGCAAAAGACUAUACUGCAUAGCACUUGUGUCUUGAAACUCGUCUAUUACAAUAGCUUUCCAUGACUCCUGGCACUCCUCCGACACUAAUUAAGAGAACACCAUGUAUCAACAUUUAGCAUUACUUGUAAAACUAGAUAAAUCAAUUUAAUAUACUUAGAUGAUAGAGACCUUCAGGAAAAUCACUUAGCAGCUAAUUAAGUCAUGGUAGUCCAAAGCGUUGCACGAUUCCUAAGAAUUUCACCCUGAUUCAGAUUGAGAUCUAAAACUCAUAAGCAAUAGUUUCAGAGAACUGAAAUGAUAACUGAAAUUCUAGAACUGAAAUGAUAACUGAACAACAACAAAAACAACAACAAAGCCUUUUCCCACUAAGUGGGGUCGGCUAUAUGAAUCCUAGAACGCCAUUGCGCUCGGUUUUGUGUCAUGUCCUCCGUUAGAUCCAAGUACUCUAAGUCUUUUCUUAGAGUCUCUUCCAAAGUUUUCCUAGGUCUUCCUCUACCCCUUCGGCCUUGAACCUCUGUCCCGUAGUCACAUCUUCGAACCGGAGCGUCAGUAGGCCUUCUUUGCACAUGUCCAAAUCACCGGAACCGAUUUUCUCUCAUCUUUCCUUCAAUUUCGGCUACUACUACUUUACCUCGGAUAUCCUCAUUCCCAAUCUUAUCCUUUCUCGUGUGCCCACACAUCCCACGAAGCAUCCUCAUCUCCGCUACACCCAUUUUGUGUACGUGUUGAUGCUUCACCGCCCAACAUUCUGUGCCAUACAACAUCGCUGGCCUUAUUGCCG